UUGGUUUAAAGAUUGCAUUUUCCGUUUCUGUUUUUGACUGGUUCAGGGUAAAACUUUUUCCCACUGUGUUAGAGUGCAUUUCUGUUAUUAUAUAGUUUCUUAGAAGAGAAUGCGCUUUUUGGAAUCUCAGGCUGAAGGAUUUGCUGACAUGGAAGAGUUCAGGGAUCUUCAAGCUUGCCUUGAUGAAGUGAAGACGAAACUCCAAUCUGGUCCCGUGGCUACCUAAGUAUCAGGAACGUGCUAUUUUUGAAUAUCAGGAAUGUGCUAUUAUUUUAGUUCGUACUGUAGUUGAGACCUUAACCAUGACUGAAUAUCUUGUAUUGCUGUACCACCUUUUCUGUAACAAAACAGUCUAGUUUUAGUAUUUUUAUUAUUUUUGUAUUUUCAGUGCUGUAACUAAUCUCAUUUGACAAUGUAAAUAUAUGGCUUCAAGUUAUUUAAAUGUAAAAUCAAGUGUUGUUUUCAACCUCUGUUCUUUUAUGUAUAGCUUACAUGCCGUGAUUUCAUUAACCUCAAUUUAAGGACAAUUUCAUAUCUUUUUUCUUUCUGCUUUUCUUUUAUCAUUUAAGAACAAAUAUGAAUAUAUUUCAGACAGCAUUUAAACAAAGCAACCGAACGUCGCUGGUUUCUAUUAUUACAUUGACAGCAAUAAAACAAAGAAGCAACUGAAAGUUAUCUUCAUAUGAGAAUGAAAGCUUUUCAGCAGCAUAACACUAUUCAUUUCCAAACGAGUUCCUCAACAUGAGAACAAAUUCGUAGACCUUUUCUGGGUCUGGAAGGAUCCUGGCAACAGUUUCCCUUUGCAUGCACUUGUUCAUCCAAGCGGAGAAUUUGGGGCACUCAUUCGCAUCCUUAAAUCACCCAAAUUUCUCAACCGCGUAAAACCAACAAAUUUCUCAACCCCCAAAUUUGGGACAUCAACGAAUCCAAAGCUAUCCCCGCCAAAGAAAUCCUUCUCCCCUAAAGCUCCCUCUAGUUGCUUCAAUAUCUCUAUAAAUUCAUUCUUUGCCGUCUCCUGUGUUUUAAAAAAUCUAUUGUAAUGGAUCUAUUGUAAAUUUAUCUAACUGCUUGUUAUAAUGCUUCUAUUGCGGUGUUAUUCGAGUUGUCAUUUUCAGUUUUAUUUUAUUUGUUCUUUAAACAUAGUUAAUUUGAAAUGUUCUUUAAUAUCCAUUACACUUGAGAUCAUCAAAUAAGUGAUUCUUGAAUAUAAUUGCUGUUGUUACUCGAAUAAGAAAAGAAAACAAAAAAUAGCUAAGGUAAAAGUAAAUGGAAAUGAGAGCAACGUGAUUUUGCAAAGAGAACUUCACACUAUCAUAAAACCGAAAACAUUACAAUUUAAAGCUUUAAUAACAACACAUCAAAGUCAAAUAACGACCCACUAGAAUCAUGGUCCAAAGAUUGUGCCAUGAUCACAACAUGAACUACAAAAAAAUAACCAACACCAGAAAAGUAGGAACAGUUUGAAACUUUCAACUAAGCAGCAUUUAUGAUUCCACAUCAGCAGCCCUAAACACAUCUUCUAACAAUCGCAACUGCUCAUUUUUGCUUCUGCCAAUAAAGAGUUGAUUGUAACCAAAGAUUGUUGUCUUUAUUGUCAUUUGAGAGUAACAAAUUACUUACGCAGUCACGUAAGUUGUUGGUUGGCCUCGCACAUUUUUGAGAAGUUUGUUUCUGAAGGAAACCAGCUGAGCCGCAACCUCUUCCAUGCUCAUUCGUUCUCUCGGCAACUCUGAAGAGCAAAUGGCUCCGAUUCCCAGUACGGAAACCAAGCACUCUUUACCACUAAAACUUCUGGUCCAUUGUUUGUGAGCAUUGGCGUUGCUUUUCUCCCCUUCUUCUCUUUCUACAAGAAGCACUGGAUCAACAAUUUCAGCGAGUCUUUCAGGAAGAGCUUCCUUGACAAAAUUAUGUAGGGUUAGAUUGCCUGUAAACAUUUCAUUCGUCGGCCUCUUUCCUGUAAACAUUUCCAGCAAGAGUAUUCCAAAACUGUACACAUCUCCACUUGUUGAGACUUCGCUCCCCAUUCCGUACUCUGCAAUUCGAAAACUAAAAUUGUUGGUUCAACUAGUAAAAUCUCAAAGGAUUGAAAGACAAGUUAAUUAAAUAAUAGUAAUUACCUGGAGCAGCAUAACCAACGGUUCCUUUUACUCCAACAGAGCUUGAUUGAUUAGAUGACAAGUUAUUGGUGGCUUCCGGAAGGAAUUUUGCUAAUCCAAAAUCACCUACAUGGGCAGUCAAUUCACUAUCCAGAAGAACAUUGCUUGGCUUGAGAUCACAAUGGACUAUUGGAGUUUCGCAAUAAUGAUGAAGAUAAUCCAAUGCAGAAGCAACAUCAACGGCAAUACUCAGUCUUUGCAGGAGAUUUAGAUUCUUAAGUGCCUCACGGUUUGGAUGCAACCAUUCCUCCAGGCUUCCGUUAACCAUGAACUCAUAAACUAAAGCCUCGAAAUCAUUUCCUUGGAAGUCAACACUUGCACAGGAAGUUAUUAUUUUGACGAGAUUCCGAUGCCUAAUAUUUCUCAAGGCCUGACACUCCGCUAUGAAACUCUUUGAAGCUCCUCGAUGUUGAAGAUUAAGCACCUUAACUGCCACCAGCGUUUCAUGAUCAUCAUGAUUGAGGACUCCUUUAUAGACCGAACCAAAGCUACCGGCACCAAUCAAGUUUUCCAAAGAGAACCCGUCAGUUGCUUUGAACAGAUUCUCAUAGGACACUCGUAAAACCGAAGCCAAGAGAGCUGAUGGAGGAGUGGCCGGCUUCCUUUUUGAUUUGCCCCGCCAGGAAGUAAUUAUCAAACACGACAUCCCUGUUACUAACAAAAUUCCUGUAACAACAGGAAUAAUCAGUUUCAGGAAACGGGAACGUGAUUGCAUUGAUUCUUUGAUGGAACAAGUAGAUAAAUGCAACUCAGAUAUGCCACCACAGAGGUUAUCAUUUCCGUCAAGAGAUAUAGCACUCGAAUUGCUGAAGACUCCUUUUAUUGGUACUUCACCCUCAAAAUGAUUAAAAGACAGAUUUAAAUUCUGCAAAAAGGGAAAGUUUUCCAGAUAUUUUGGAAUUCGGCCAGACAAAUUGUUCCUCGAAAGAUCAAGAUUCUCAAUGCCUCUCAAAGAACUGAAUGAUGAAGGGAUAUUCCCUUGAAAGAAAUUACCAUUCAUGAUGAGUUGUACCAACAUAAUGCAACUUCCUAUACUGCUUGGAAUUUCACCAGACAAUUUGUUCUCCGAUAUGUCUAUAAAACCCAGAUUUUUCAAGAUACCAAAAUUAGAGGGCAAAGGACCAUUCAAAUGGUUUUGAGAUAGAUCAAGAUAGAUUGACAAGGAAGAGAGGCCAAUCACUUCAGUGGGUAUGGUACCACUGAGGUUGUUAUUGGAGAGAUCUAAUAAUAUCAAGUUUUGGCAUUUCCCUAGACUUGAUGGAAUGUUUCCCUCUAACAUGUUUUCCGCAAAAUCUAGUAUAGCUAACGAUGUCAAAUUUCCUAUAGAAGAUGGAAUUUCCCCCCAAAACUUGUUCCCCAGAAGCCACAACGUCUGCAGCUUAUGAAGAUCUCCUAUACUUCCCGGAAUUCGGCCUGUGAAUUGGUUGCCCCCAAGGUGUAAAAGCUCUAAGUUAACAAGAUUUCUUAAUCGAUUUGGGAAAUUUCCGAACAACUGAUUGUUUCCAACUAUUAAUAUUCUAAGUCGGGUUGACAAGUUCCCCACAGCUUCAGGUAACAUUCCACCAAAAUUGUUGUCACUAAUUUGCAGUAGCUCUAGUCUGGAAGCGUUGACCAAAGAAUUGACAAAUUCCAAGUCAUCCUUUUUCCCAUUUCCUAAGUGAUUCAGAUAAAAACUAACCCAUUGGAGUUUAUGUAAAUUUUCCAAACUAGGCACCUUUCCACUGAAUCCAUUCAUUGGGAUUGUAAGUCUCAUUAGAUUUGAGGCAUUGGAUAUUGAAGCAGGAAUAGGCCCAGUAAACUGAUUACCACCAACGUUUAAUCGUUCAAGAUUAGGCAGAGUGAAGCCUAAGUCUGAUGGAAGGCUUCCUUGAAGUUGGUUAUGAGGGAAAUCCAAAUAAUUAAGCGAAGACAAGUUGUAGAUUGAGAAAGGGAUUUCACCUGAUAGCUUAUUUACUCCCAAUAAUAUAUCACGCAUCCUCUUUAGCUGACCCAGUGUUUCAGGAAUUUGUCCCACAAAUUGAUUUGCAGCUGCUGAGAGGACCUCGAGUGAUGACAAAUUGCCCAAGGAAGAUGGGAUUUCUCCCGAAAAAUUGUUGUAGUGUACUGUGAGCAUCCGGAGCUUUGAUAUGGAGCCUAGUAACCCAGGAACUUUCCCCACAAGCUCAUUGACGCCUAACCUGAGGGAUUCAAGGUUAACGCAAUGCGAUAUGUUGUCAGGAAUUUGACCUCCGAAUGUAUUGUUGUUCAGCUCCAAAAUUCGUAACCUGAACAGAUAUCCAAUCUCUUGAGGGAUUUCGUUGCGGAAGCUAUUGUUUUUGAGAUCUAACACUCUGAGAAAACUCAAAUUACCAAUGUGAGGCGACAGAGACCCCUGCAAGAGUAAAGAUGGAAGACGUAAUCCAGUCACCCUUUGGUGCCGUCGACUGCAAGUGACACCUUUCCAUUGACAAAAGUGCCUGGAAUAGUUCCAUGAUCUCAAAACCUCAAGAGGGUCAUGAGUAACUUUGGCCUUGAAUUGAAGCAAUGCAAGUUGAUCAGUUUCAUUGCUUUUGAGCAUAUAAUCGGUUGAUUGCAAGCUGAAGCUGAAGCAACAUAAAAUAAAGAAACAAAUGCUUACAAUGAUUGAACUCAUCAUGUUUACAAAAUUCAUUUAACUGCCGAAGGAAAUUAAAAUGAUAAAACUUUUAUAGAGGUUUGUAAGAUAAAAUAUGUUUGUAUAUAUUUUGCAAUGAUUUAUGGACUCUGUCUUUGAUGCUCAAAUGUGAACCAGGUGGCACCGUGACAGUGAAACUAAUACUUUUUCUUUUUCUAAUAAUAUUAAUUAUCAUAUUUAUUACUAUUGUAAGAAUAAUAUACUGCAGCUUUAAAGAAAGACUCACCAUACUCUCUUUUGAGUUUAAUCACCAAUAUUGAAAAGGAAAAAAAAAGUAGGGCAAGAGAAAGGUAAAUACGAUGGGUGGAGUGUUAAGACUACUGUUAAAUGAGUUGGGAAACGUUCAAAGCACGAUGGGAAUUAAAGAUUCACAACACCUUUUUUCUAAAAUUUUCAAUACAGUCUCCCCCAAAAUUUGCUAGUGCAACAAAGAGACGUCGCGCCGUUAACAAUUUUAAACUGUAAAUGACAUGUCGUUUUCACAGAAUUCGUUUAACUGCCGGAGGAAAUUGAAAUUAUAAACUUUUAUAAAGGUUGGUAAGAAAAAAUAUACUUGCACAUAUUUUUUUUUCAAUGAUUUAUGGACGCUGUACUUGAUGCUGAAAUGUGAACCGGCUGGCACCGGGACAGUGAAAUUAAUGCUUUUUGUUUUUCUAAUAAUAUUAAUUAUCCUUUUCCUUUAAGGAAGACCCGCCACACUCACUUUUGACGCUCUAUCAGUUUCCAGCAUGUUGUCGUUUUGUAUUUUAGUGCAUUAAAGAAAUCCACAAUGAAUAUAAAAUAAUUUAAUCAACAGUAUUAGAAAAAGAAAAAAAGUAGGAUAAGAAAGUUAAGUAUGAUGGAUGGAGUUUCACAUUUCUGUUAAAUGACUUAGGAAAUGUUUAAAGCACCACAGGAAUCAACGUUUCACACGCUUUUUAGAUUUUUUUUCUAAAAGGAAAAAGAUAUUCUCACGAAAGAAAGUACAAAAUUUCACACAAAACGGUGCAUUUAAAUAAAGUAAAAUUGCAAAAAUACUCAAAAUAUAUAAGAUUGAUCAUUUACACCCUCCUUGUUUUUUUUGGGUGAACUAUUUCUGGAAAAUGGGCAGAGCCUAGUUUUGGUUCAAAAUUUGAAAUAACAAAUGGUAUAUUGGUGGAAAACCAACGACAUAUUUUCUAAUGCUUAACCUAAAUGGGAAUUAUAUCGGUUUGUACUGUCAAUAUAACAAACAACUAACUAAAUUAUUUAGAAGUCAUGAAUAAAAAUGGAUAGAACAAGAAGUAUAUUGCUAUUCGAUGCAAGAUGUUGGAUUAUUAAACCAUAAUAAAAUAAUAUAACUACACAUGUGCAAUGUUAUUCACUAAAAAGAUUUAAUUUAGAUAUUAAACAGUUAGUGCAACUGUAUCGAUCUCAUCCUCAUUAAUUUAGAGUUUGAGAACUCAUAAUAAAAGAAAAUAGAAAUUUAAACAUAGAUCCUAUCCUAUUAAGUAGAAUCAGAAAAGAAGUUUAUAGAAAUAAUUUUUCACGGAAGCAAUGAAAUAUUAAUCCGGUUGAUGGAUAUAUUGGUGAACACAUAAUAGAAUAUUAUAAUAGAUUUUUAUCUAUCAAGCAAAGGGAAGAAUAUAAUUGGAAUAACAAAAGAAUUAGAAGUAAAUAGUAAUAUGCUAAUAGGAUAUAAAGGAUUAUUAUUAAUUAUCGUAUUUGUGUAUAUAUAUAUAUAUUUUAAAUGAUUUAGGGACUCUGUACUUGAUGCUGAAAUGUGAACCGGCUGGCACCGGGACAGUGAAACGAGUACUUUUUUUAUUAUUACACGGCCUGUCGUUUUCAAAGAAAAAUUUUAUCAUGGUAUUCUUAUCCCCUAGCUGCCGUUUGUCGUUUGGAAUUUCUCUGUAUAAGAUUUUAAAGCAGCAAAAAUUUCGCCAUCUCGCGCCGGGGGGGUGGGGUGGGGGGAAGAUGAUGAUUCCGUGGAAUAUUAUCUUCGACUUAUCUGCUAUAAUCAGUGCUAACCGAUUUUGACACAUUUGCAGUAACGGAAGGGUUACAAUUACACGAGAUUGACACGAGGUAAUUAGCUAGUCAAGUCUCCGUGGGAAAAUUGUAAGCACUCAAGACUUAAAAAAGACUUUAUAAAGUAAGGCGUAUUAUGGAUGGUGUGGUUUGAUUCUCACUUGCAUCAAUUGUUCUUUUCAUUUUUCAUUGGAGGAAAGGAAAUUCAAGAGCCUGGUGUAUCUAGCAAAUUUUGUAACACGUUCUUGUAAGAUAAAAUAAAUAAAUAAAUAUAUCGGAUCCUAUUUCAUAGUUUAGUUAUAGGGUUAUUCGGAUGUCUGAAUUCAAAACAAGUUAAGUUUAAUCUCUAAAUAAUUUUGAGGAAAUCUUUCUACAAGGAGAGUUUGAAAUCAAUCACUACCCAUGUGUCAUUGGUCAGAUAAAUAGGUUAAGAACUCUAAUCCUAUCCCGACACAAAAAAAAAUCGUAUCGACUCGGACCUAGUCCAUUUUAAAUAACGGUUUAUUUAAAAUAAUUAUUUUUAUAAUAAUAAUUACUACUAUUAGUUGUCCUAUUAUUAUUAUUAACAAUAAUUAUUUUAAAUAAAAAUUGUAAUUAUUAUAAUAAAUGAUGACAAUAAUCAACUAAGAUUAUUUUGGUAUUGUAAUAAUCAAUUCCAAUUCCAAUAAAAAUUAGAUACAUUAGUGACAAUAUAAAUUAGGGUAGGGGUGGGCAAAUUCGGUUUGGAUCGGUUUGGGACAUAUCCUCAAACCGAUCCAAACUAAUCGGUUUGAAAUAUUUUCAAACCGAUAUCAACCUAAAAUUUUUUUAAACCGAACUGAUCCAAACCGAUUGGAUCGGUUUGGAUCCGGUUUGAACUUAUUAGCUAAAAUUUCACUUCUUUUAUAUUAUUUUACCUAAAUUAUUUGUUAUUUUUUUGUGUCCGCAAUCUAAAUUGAUACCUCUUUUAUAUUAUUCAUAUCUACUUUGAUAUCUACAUAACAAUUCAAAGAUACAUCCAUACAAGUUUACAGCAUAAUACAUCCUAAUAAACAAGUUCUUAACCUGUUCAUUCAAAACAAACUCACAAAAUUAAAAUAAACUUAAACCACACUUGACAAUUAAAAUAUUGUGCAUCUUGUCCGUCAAAAUUUAUAGUCCAAUUACUUUUGAUUUGUUAAAAUCUGCAUAAAAUGAUAAAUAUAAUUAUUUAGAUUGAUUAACUUAAAAUAUAAUGUAAUUAUAUAAUAUUUCUGGAUUGGAUCGGUUUGAAUCGGUUUGGAAUCCUUCCAAACCGAGUGAUGUCGGUUUGCAAUCCAAUAAACUGAAACCAGUUUUUUUACUAAUGAAACCGAUCCAAACCGAUCCAAAAGGUCGGUUUGGAUCGGUUCGGUUAAAAUAUGCCCACCCCUAAAUUAGGGGUUAUUUUUAGAAACCUCCCCUGAAGUUUAGUGUAUUGACAGUCGGAUAGAAAGUAUUCAUAUAAUUACAGGGACCUCCCCUGACGUUAGUAUUCCGCUAAGUGGACUGUCAGUUGACUAUUGAAAUUCCAAAAAUGCCCUUGCCGCAAAAAUAUAUUUUUAACAUAGAGGAGGUUGCGCUCUGAUCCUUUGUUCUGAAUUCAUUUUUUAUCCUUUGUUCUUAGUCACGGUAUAUAAGCCCCAUCCUUACCAAACAAAAUUUUAGAUCAAACAUGCUUAAAGAAAAUGGAUAAUGCAACAUCUAAAAUAAUUUUAAAACACAAAACAACAAAUACUCCACAUUUCAAAGUAAUAAAAAAAUAAAUAAUCGUAGUGCAAAUAGAUUAAACCUGAGCAGAUUUAUAGGCAUUAAGAGUAUUCUCAACGGCGACUUUCCUCUCAUCGCCAGUCUUAAACUCAGCCAAGUUAAGCAAACUCAUGUCGAAACCAAAAUUAGAAUUUAGAAAGGAAAAAAACAGAAUUGAGAAUCAAUUUAUUUUUUGGGAGCACGUGAGUGAUGAGUUUUGGAAUCUAAAAUGAUAUCAAGUUAUGAAGUAUUUUUGGUGUAAACGCAACAGCCAUGAGAGGAGAGUGACGAGAAACUUCCAAAAAGAGGUGAAAAAAAAAACAGAAGAGAAAAAGGCCAAAAGGAAAAAGACUCAAAAAAACAAAAACAGAGAGGAGACGCAAGGGCAAUCAAGCAAGCAGACAAACAAUUUAAAACCUGAGCAGAUAAUCACCCUUCAUCUUCAAAUAAAACACCUUGGAAUCGGCAGCGGCAGCGGUGGGAACCAAUUUCUGGUCCAAUAAUUUCAAGAUCCCGCCACAGGAUCUCCAUCAACUCGGCUUCGAUCUUCGAUCUGUACUCCUUAAUCACGGAGACAUGGUCUUGGUUGCCGUGCGACUCGUCCUUCUGCUCGAUGGAGGACACGAUGCACCAAGAGGCGCGCCGUGCGCCGAUGACGUUCUUGUAGGCGACGGAGAGGAGGUUCCUCGCUGGUCGAGGCAGAGACGACGACUUUUUCCAUGUAUUGGACCAUCUCCUCGUACCACUCGGCUUGCUCCGCAAGUUUUUCCAUGUAUACGUUUUCUUCCCGUGGAGAAGGGGCUGCCAUUGUUCCGUUCAGUUAUCUUUGUGUUUGUUUGAAUUUUGUUUUUGUUUAAAUUUUAAAUUUAUUUUUACGUAUUUACCCUUUAUAAUAACGUUAUACGUAUUUUUGUAUUAACGUUAGGGGAGGUCUUUGUAAUUACAUGAAUAUUUUCUAUCCGACUGUUAAUACACUAAACCUCAGGGGAGGUCCCUAAAAAUAACCCUAUAAAUUAUUACAGCUAAAAUAAAUAAUUUAUAAUAAUUCUAAUUCUUUAUUUCAAUUCUAUUUUGAUUCUAUCUUAUUCCGAUUACUGAUUGGUAAGCAUACCACUAAACGAAAUGAAACUGUCCAUACACAAUAAAAUCUCUUUAAUUGAUCAUCUAGCCCAGCUAAAAUCAACGGUCCCGAAAGAAACAAUUUCGGAACUACUCAAGCCUGCAAAUCUUGCACUGUCGUAGUAAGUUACAGGAAUUUGAUUGGACGAUGUAAUAAAGAUGAAGGAUAAGAUCGCCAUUCGCCAAUCAAUUUUCUGUCCGCAUCAAGCAAAUAGGCCAUCUGUGAGGCGCAAAAUGAGUUAAAAAGAUGGAUAAUUUUGGAAUCCAUUAAUCCACAAUGAACAUAAAACAAUUUAAUCAACAGUAUUAGGAAAGAAAAGAAAAGUAGGAGAAGAAAGUUAAGUAUGAUGGAUGGAGGUUCAGAUUACUGUUAAAUGACUUAGGAAAGGCUUAAAGCACCACAGGAAUCAACGUUUCACAAAGCUUUUUUCCCUUUCUGAAAUAUUCGGUGCAGUCUCCCCCAGAUUUUGCCAGUGCAACCAAGAGACGUCAUGCCGUUAUCAAUUAUAAACUGUAAAUGACAUGUUGUUUUUACAAGACAUAUUAUGCGUCGAUACAUACCUAUGAAUGGGUUCAAGAAAUUCAGCAGGUUGCGAAACAAUAAGAUUCAUUCAAUCCGCGUAGAUAUCUGACUGACUGAAAUUAAAUAAACGAUGAUGAUAAGAAAUUUGAAAUCAACAAAUCUCGGCACAUCUAUUCUGCAGUUUGGCCGUACUUCAAAUAACCUUGCGAUAAAAAUUUCAUAAAAAAUCUCAGAAAGAGGACAGAACAACCAAGGCAUCAGCGAAAGCAAUCGAGGCAGGGCACGCUCAAGCCACGAAUUAGAGGAAUUUUAAAUAUCAAAACCUGCUCAGAAUAAUAAGAAAUAAAAUGAAACUACAAAAGGCUCAGAUUUUUGGAUGAGUGAAGGGAAGAUGAGAAGAUGAAAUGCAGAAAGUCAAGAAAUGAAUAAACCAAUAUUAAUAAUCUUGGACCCACAGCUCUAAUUUGGAUUAAGCAUCCAUCUACCUAUGUGGAUAAUAUUUUUGCUAACUUUUCAGCCAUGCAGCAGGAUCAUGUUCGUCCUGUUUUAUUUGAUAGAAGGAAUUUUCCCCUGGAAGAAAAUGAUGAGUCGUUUCAACGUCAUGCAACUGCCUAGACUGCAUGGAAUUUCACCAGACAAUGACAAUUUAUUCUCAGAUAUAUCUAACGCCCCCACAUUUGCCAAAUUUGAAGGCGUCCGUUUUGAGACUGAUAAAAACGUUUUCCAAAAAUUCGGGAUUCAGGUCGAUCAGACCGGUUAUGUUUUGCAAAACUUGUAAAUUUUCAGUGAUCAAAAUUCAAAACUUUGCAAAUAGGUCAAAAUAUGAAAAAUACUUGAUAUAUUAUUGAAUACUCAUUUUGUUUUGCAUUAAUAUACGGCUGUGGGUGCUAUCUAGUUCUAUUAGUAAAAUUCCUUGGGUUGAAAACAAGAAAACUAGCAUUUGAAACUCACCCAUAUGGAUGGGAAAGAAAUUUAGUUACCAUUGGAUUAAAAAAUAAUAAUAACAAUUAGAAAAAAAUUGUAAGGCUUCGACAAGAUUUGCUAAUCAUGUAUAGAUUAAUAUGAAGAUUAAGAACAUCACCUAAGCCAAUUAUUGAAAUUGAAAUUUUAGGAGAAAAAUUUAUGUGGGUUUGGCCACCAAUUUAGCAUUAGGAACUUAUUGUUUAGGAAGCUAUGGUGGGUUUCGUAGUGGGACUUAUCCUCUUUAAUGCAUAUGGUGAUUUUAAACCAACAUUUAUAUAAUCCCAUUAUAAAACUCAUCAAACCUUCUAAAAUAACUCGUUGAGAUAGUGUGCUAGAUCCAUAUAAAUAUUUCUCCAACUUCUUAGCUUGAAGCGAUAUUCAUUUCCAUUGAUAGUUUAAUGGGCAAAGCCUUUUGAAUUCUCCAGGUUAUCAAGUUAUUUUUUGCUGGAAAAUGCAAUCCGGAUAUGAAUAGAUUUUUUUGUGCAAUCAAAUUUUCUAUGUUGACGCAUCCUCUAGAACUUUCAGUAAAUUUUAUGGAGAAGCUUUAAUUUCUUAGUUGUUGAUUUCGAAUAAAAAAUUAAACUUAACUUUAAAAUUACAGUUGUAAUUAUAAAAUAUUUACUGAAUACAUUAGUGUUAAUACUACAAAUUGUUCCAUUAAAAGUCUCUCAAAAAGGAAGAAGUGACUUAAAAAAUUAAAAGAAUGCAGGAGCUGAAGUUGGCAAUUUUGUAAAUUGCAAUGGCAAUUGUGGGCUAGUAAAAUCCCUCAAUGAGUCACAGCACUAGCAAUUUCGUAAUAUACAUUAGUGGCAAUUUUGUAAAAUUGAAGUUGUGAUAGUUUUGCAAAUAAAAGUAAAAGCUUUUUGCCUAAAUUCGGCUGAGCUAAAAGCCAGCUUAGCCCACACUCUCCUUCGCCACCGGUUGACGAGCUCUUCCUUCAAUUUUUGAACUUGAAGUGAUGCCCCAUCGAUGUCCAGAAUUUUUAAAGUCAGAAUGAUGAUCCUAAUGAUUCUUUUUAGAUAGUCACCUGUACGUUGACGUGUUUAAUUGAUGUUUAUUUAAGCAGAAAUUGAAGUUUGAUCCCUGAUUAAUUAGAUGAGAACACACAUUCAUGAGUAAAUACUUAAAAUUAAAUUAAUCAAAAUAGUAUAAAUACAGGAGAAAAUCGAUCAUAUGCGUGCAGACAUCACAAUCGAAUUAUAUAUAUCACCGCCGCACAUAAAUUUGAUUCCCAUGAUAUGUGAUUAAUUAAUUAAUUUUUUUAAUAACAAUUAAAUUGUAAUGUCAAUUGUCCACAUAAGUUUUUUGUUUUUGUUGAUGAAAGUUAGUAAUUUUUUUCCAUCUUUUUAAAUAAAAGUUGUUAAUAAAUAUCAAGAAAAUAUUGGGACUUGAGAUCAGGGUCUACUUAAGUUAGAAUUUUUUAUUAGAAAAGCUAUAGCCAGCGAUGAAAAAUAAAGAAGUAACACAAGAUAAAGAGUAAAAUGAGAGAGCAUAUAUUAUAAAAAGAUUUUACCCAUUUCAAGUGUGCACCAAACAAAGAGACGAACUCUCAUUUUAUAGUUACAUAAUUAUUACAUGAAAUUAAUAAAAAUAUUAAGAAUUAUAAUUCCUUGCGAGAUAGUGGGAGUUAUAGAAAAGUCAAGAGUUGUUAGUGGAAGAUAGCAAGAAGAGUAAAAAAUAUAUGUUAUGAACAUUCACAUUUAUUUUAAUAAAUUUACAGUAUUUUUUUCGUUAAAUAAUAGGGUGUGGAGAACAAUUGGAAGGACUUUACGUGUGUUUAUAUAUUGACAUAAAAAUUGCAGGACGUGUAGUUUAGCGUUUCUUGGUUGUUCAGUGCUAGUUUUCUAAAUCUCGAGCGUGCGGGUUAUUUUUCGUUACCUUUAUCACCGAAAGGCUGUUUUAACCAACUAAGAACUAAAAGCUAAAACCCAAAACCCCCCUCUUGUUCUUUUCCAGGGACUUUACCUUGUCCUUGAUGGCCGAAAAGCAACUGGAAAUCCUCCGCGGGUACGAGCUGCGGCUCUUGCGCUGCACCCUCGCUCCCCCACCGUCCGAUCUUCGCAUUCAAUCGCAACCGUUGAACGAAGAAAGCCAAUGCUCUAUCCUUCCACUCCACGAGCACAUCAACAGCCUCAUCAACUCCAUCGAGUCCGGCCACUAUCUCCAGGCUCUGUCCUCCGACGAGGCUAAACACGCUCUCGACACGCUCGAUUUCGUCGACAUCAACGACUCAGCCGAGUGUGCCGACCGCGUCUACUCCGAGCUGCUCCAGCUUGUCGAAGCGUCUAUAGUGAACGAUUCCGAAAUUGACGUGGAUAAGGCUUGUCGAGUUAUUCUGCUCAUGUGUCUUUCAAUUGCUGCCCUUUUUUGGUUCACUCAGUGUAACGUGACUGGGUGAGUUUCUUAUUUAUAAAUUUUUAAAUAAUUGCAAUUAAUUAAUAAUAAAUAUUAGUAAAAAAUUAAUCAAAAAAAAGGUUUAGUGAUGAACCUUGUCGAGGUGCCUUCUAAUAGAAAAGAGCUCACGGCAAGAUGAAAUGCAAAGUAAGUUGUUUUAUGGUUGGGCGGUGUGUAGCCGUCUUGUUGAAGGCCAUAAGAUGUUAAGCAUAUUGCUGUUUAAUUUUUAAAUCAUUCUCAGUAAUAAUUCCUUUAGUAGAUUGAUGAUAAGAGAUUGCAUUGCAGAUGAUAACUGAGCACAAUUUCUGUAGUUGUAUCCCUGUACAUCCAUCUUAAUAUCCUCAUUAUAUUCACAUGCCUUUUACGGGUGUUAUUUCUGGAUGCAGAAUGCUUUGUUCCACGUCUGGAUACCAAAUGCUUUGUUCCACAAAGCUGAGCUGGUUGAAAAGCUAGCUGAUGAGGUCAACAUGUCCCUUAAGUAAUUUGAGGAUGAACACUGUGUUCCCGAAAGUCUUACUCUAAUGAUACUUAAAGAAGCAAUGAGAAUGGAUGUUGCAGCAGCUUUGCUGAACUCAACCCCAGUUCCAAAAAUGGAACAUGUGAAAAUGCAUUGUUUUUUUUUUUUUUUUUCUCUCUCUUUAUGACUUCUUUGGUUGGGAAUGUAUUAGAUAUUCACCUAAUCAGUAGGCCUUGAAGGGAUCCCAUGUUAGCCCCUUGAUGUUGGUCUGUAACUAAGUAAAUACUUGACCUUGAAAAAGCUUUUGGAGGCAUCAGUUCUCUCUGACUGUGUGCUACUUUUUGGAUCUGUUGAUUUGGUCAUUUGCUGAUUUAUAGUUAUUUUUCUGAUUCAGGAUGGGAUAUGGCUCCAUACAUAUAUAGGCAAUUGAUUCACAGCAGUCGUCAUGCUUCAUUGUAAUUAUAUAUACAAUACAGCAUCAGUUUUUCUUGAUUUUAAAUCUCGUAUUCUGAAGUGGUACUUCUGAUUCUCACAUGAUUUUUCCAUCUUUCAGCUAAAGUUUUUCUGUGAUCUCUUCCGUAUUAGAUGGGAGUUCACCCGUAGUCGCACAAAAGGGCGUGCUUUAGAGAUGAUGGACAAACUGGUAUGAUCUGUGAGCCUUUUCUUCUUAAAUAUUUUGUUACCUAAAUCAUUUUCAUUCAAAUUUACAAGAGUUGCCUAUGGAUCUAUAGAAGAUUCCAAACUUUCUGCAGCUAGUAGUUUCUUGGUUUCCGUACUGUCCAUCGGGUAAAGAUUGAAUGUGCAUCAUUUAUAAACUUGUCGGGAUCUUCCUUCUUAGCUUUGAGAUUGCUCCUGCAUAUAGGUAGAACCAAAGGCACAAAUGGUACUUGUUGCAAACACAAGCUCAUCCAACACUUCUGAUGUCUGCCCUUCAAUAAACCAAGUCAUUCAUACACAUGAUUCUACUAUUGGUGAUGCCUCUGAUGUUUUUGUGACCCCAAAAUUAUUGGGGAAUAGUCAUGAAUCUGAAUCUGGAGUCCAAUGCAUUCAUGCUGGUGGCUCAGCAGCCCAUUUAAAGGCAAUCCAACAGGCAGUGAUCUUGUCGAGGUGCCUUCUAAUAGAAAAGAGCUCACGGCAAGAUGAAAUGCAAAGUAAGUUGUUUUAUGGUUGGGCGGUGUGUGGUCCUCUUGUUAAAGGCCAUAAGAUGUUAAGCAUAUUGCUAUUUAAUUUUUAAAUCAUUCUCAGUAAUAAUUCCUUUAGUAGAUUGAUGAUAAGAGAUUACAUUACAGAUGAUAACUGAGCACAAUUUUUGUAGUUGUAUCCCUGUACAUCCAUCUUAAUAUCCUCAUUAUAUUCACAUGCCUUUCACGGGUGUUAUUUCUGGAUGCUGAAUGCUUUGUUCCACUUUUGGAAACCAAAUGCUUUGUUACACAAAGCUGAGCUGGUUGAAAAGCUAGCUGAUGAGGUCAACAUGUCCCUUAAGUAAUUUGAGGAUGAACACUGUGUUCCCGAAAGUCUUACUCUAAUGAUACUUAAAAAAGCAAUGAGAAUGGAUGUUGCAGCGGCUUUACUGAACUCAACCCCAGUUCCAAACAUGGAACAUGUGAAAACCAAAAAUGCAUUGUUUUUUUUCUCUUUAUGACUUCUCUAGUUGGGGAAUGUACUAGAUAUUCACCUAAUCAGUAGGCCUUGAAGGGAUCCCAUGUUAGCCCCUUGAUGUUGGUCUGUAACUAAGUAAAUACUUGACCUUGAAAAAGCUUUUGGAGGCAUCAGUUUCUCUCUGACUGUGUGCUACUUUUUGGAUCUGUUGAUUUGGUCAUUUGCUGAUUUAUAGUUUGUUUUCUGAUUCAGGAUGGGAUAUGGCUCCAUACAUAGAGACAAUAGAUUCACAGCAGUCAUCAUGCUUCAUUGUAAGUAUAUAUACAAUACAGCAUCAGUUUUUCUUGAUUUUAAAUCUCAUAUUCUGAAGUGGUACUUCUGAUUCCCACAUGAUUUUUCCAUUUUUCAGCUAAAGUUUUUCUGUGAUCUCUUACGUAUUAGAUGGGAGUCCACCCGUAGUCGCACAAAAGGGCGUGCUUUAGAGAUGAUGGACAAACUGGUAUGAUCUGUGAGCCUUUUCUUCUUAAAUAUUUUGUUACCUAAACCAUUCUCAUUCAAAUUGACAAGAGUUGCUUAUUUAUCGAUAGAAGAUUCCAAACUUCUGCAGCUAGUACUUUAUUGGACCCAAAAGCUUUUUUGCUUUUUCUAAGCUGCUAAUCAAGACUAGGUUUCUCUCCCUUAUAUCGCUAGAUAUGCCAUUAAUCGUUUGAUUUAAUUGUCUAGAGAGAUUAGAUACUUGCAUCUUUGCUUUUCACUUCACAAGUGAUUUCAUGUGCUAUCCUGUAUUCUGGUUCAAGAUUUUUGAUGGUUGCUUACUAUCAUAUUUUGCUUUGUUUCAGGUUGAGGGCAUUUCUAACUCUUCUCCCGGUGUGACUCAAAGUAUUCCCUUUUGUUAUGUGAUUUGCAUUCCAACUAUUCCUGCCCUGCGAAAGUAAAACUAUUUCUUCUGCAUCUUUGAAUGAUUGUGAUUUAAUUUUCUUGUCAUUUUGCCAACUAUCAUUAUGCUGUCAUUGUUUCAUAUCUUAUUUGACAUAUGUUGAUUUGGAUAGAUUUUAAUUGCUCUGUUUAUUCUCUUUAUAAUCUGUCUAUUUCGAUUUUUCUUCAUUUUAGGGAAUAUGCUAAACUUUUAGUAAGCCGUGGCUUGAUUGGAGAGGCUAUUAAAAAUUUUGAGGAUCUGGUGUUGUGGGAUAGUCUAAUACUGCAAUUGGUAUGAUGUCAUAGAUAACCAUUACCCUAAUCUCUCUGUCUAUCUCUCUCUCUCUCUCUUUCGUGUUGCUAAUGGGAGUUGGUUUUGUGUAUGAUGUAAAAAACAGCCUAUUGGGGAAGAAAGCAGCAGCUGUUGAACUAAUAAAAGCAAGGCUGUCUGAAAAGCCUAAUGACCCUACAUUAUGGUUUGUUGAUGAGCCUUUUCUAUGAUCCAUUUUAUAGUUACUUCUCAUUUCAGUUAAAUCCAUUGUUGAUGUCACUUAUUGCAAUCUAGGGAUGAUUGUUCAUUGGAUGUGAGGAUAUUGUCAGAAGAAAAUGAAACCUUUUAAUUUUAUCUUUUACUUGCUGUAGCCGACUUAAAAGGUCACUGUGCGUUCUUACUGAUUGCUUUUGGUCUUGCAUUUGAGUCAGUGGAUUUUAUACUCAUAUUCUGACAUGUAUUGUUAGCCUUCUGACGGUUCUGCACCUUGGUCCUAUAUUAUCUUCAGCAGUAUUAUCUAAAAGAUCAUUUUUUGCCGAAGAAUAUUUGCAUUCUAAACUAGAAAAGGAGGGGCCGCCCGGGCCCGGGGGGGGGGGGGGGGGUGUGUGUGUGUGAAGGAAGCAUCAGGAGGUUGUUUUCCACUUAUCCUCUUCCCUGCCUGCAUUUUAGAUGAUUCUGAUGCACCAGGUGCCGUGAAAUGGUUGAGAAAUACAUACCAUCAAGUGAAUUCUGAAAAUCAUAUCCUUUUUGAGAAUAUUUGGUGCUAGACAUUUGAAUAUGUGGCCACAAUUUAAACAAUAAAGAUUUUCUGCACUGAUUUCUUAUAAUGGAUAUAUGCAUGUAAUUAUAAUAUGAUAUCUUUUGAUUAUUGACCCAUUUGUUUAGAAAGAAGGGGAAAAAAAAAACAUGGUUGAAAGACAACUGUUACUUGACCUUAUCUUGGUCUGUUCACUGCCGUUUGUUUCCUAUAACUUCUGGUGAUAAUGUAGCCAGAAUGAUGAGUUGAAUUGUGGUUUACUGACUUGUGAUACAUUUUGUAGGUGUUCAUUUUUGUUUUCUAAAUUUGUUAUCUAAAGGAAUGACAAGUUGACAACUCAGCCUCUCUCUCUCUCUCUCUCUCUCUCUCUCUCUGUGUGUCUGUGUCAGGGAUCUGAUUUGUGGAAAGAAAGAGAUCGGUUUGAAAGGUUUUCAUAUGCAUCCUUGGAACUUUGUAAGGUUUACAUGGAAAUUUCUUCCUCUUCUGGUAGCCGUCAAGAACUCUUUGCUGCUGAGAUGCACCUGAAGAACGUACUUAAACAAGUAAAAUACCUUAUAAUUCGAUAUUUAAGACACUUACAGAUGGUAUUACAUUGACAGCAGUAAAACAAAGAAGCAACUGAAAGUUAUCUUCAUAUGAGAAUGAAAGCUUUUCAGCAGCAUAAGCCUUUCACUAUUCAAUUCCAAACACGUUCCUCAACAUGAUAACAAAUUCGUAGACCUUUUCUGGGUCUGGAAGGAUCCUGUAACAGUUUCUCUUUGCAUGCACUUGUUCAUCCAUGCUGAGAAUUUGGGGCACUCAUUCUCAACCUUAAAUCCCCCAAAUUCCUCAACCGCGUAAAACCAUCAAGUCAGUGGAAUGGCAAUCACAUCAACGAAUCCAAAGCUGUCCCCGCCAAAGAAAUCCUUCUCCCCUAAAGCUCCCUCAAGUUGCUUCAAAAUCUCUAUAAAUUCAUUCUUCGCCGGGGACCUCGCCCUUCGUUUUGCAUAUGUUGCAGACUGGAUCGAAUACCUGCCAAAAAAGUGGUGUCAUCUUUUAAGUUCGCAUUUAGAAAGAUACAAACAUUUACACUUGAGAAUUAUAGACUGACCUUCUUGUCAAUAAAAUCUGCCCAGAACCUUGCCUUAGCUCUCUCAGAAGCACAGGAUGGGAGAAGUGAUGGCGAAGGCCAAGUCUCGUCAAUUUAGUUGACUAUAAUAGUGGAUUAACACAAUGGUUCCCCAUCGUGCAGCAAAACUGGGACUUUCUUGUAGAUGGGGUUUGAUUUGAGCAACAGGUCACUCUUGCCCCCGAACAAGUUCUCAGCUCUGGCUUCAUAUCCAACUCCUUUCUCAGCCAAUGCAAUCUUUGCUCUCAAGCAAAAUGGGCUAACCCAACAGUCCAAAAGAACAACCUCUCCCUUUGACAUAUUCAACUAUCAAGGUUGGUAUUUAUAUAGGAGAAAAGAUGAAAUUCCCAAAGAUUGUGUCGCAAUCAAGGUUUGUUCGUUGGCACUUCGAUAAAGGAUGUGGCCUUGUUCUUAUCAUUUCUUAGUUUUUGAAGCUAAAUGUUUUACUUGGCUUUCAACAGGCACAAGAACAAGUUUGUCUUGUGUAAAUAAAAUAAAACCAUAAAAUUCCAUUAUUAGUGUAAAACCAAAAUAAUUAAAAUAAUAAAAGUGAGUUAGUCGUGCGUGUGGACCUCCUCUUUAUGAGUUUGUUAUCACACCAUAUUUGGUUUCUAUAAAUAAAAUAACUAAAACUCUCUUAUCUAAGUAAGAAUAUUGUUAUUUUGAAAUACCAACUCAAUCUCUAACAAAUCUUGAGAUAUAACUUAAGAUUCUUGAGCUUCCAAUAUAAAACAAGUAAGAUUAACAUAACUUUUUCACUUCCUUCCAUCAAAGAAGGGAAUAAGUUAUAUAAUUUAAUUUAUGUUUAAUUAAAUUAUUUUAAAUGGGUAAUAAUUAUAAAUUUUUCCACUUUAUUUAAUUAACUAGAUAAGACCAUAUUGUAAAUUCUUACAUUUAUCACUUUAAUCUCUUUCCUUUUUCAUUCCAACUCCGGUACAAACUAUUCCUUUUCAAAAAGUUGUACUCAAAUUGAUAAGUCUUGGAAGACCAAAACACUAUUUAAAAUUUAUUAUUUGCUUUAGUAGCUUUCAUGGGUGCAAGGUAAGGAACAAAACUCGGUGGAUUUUAUGACAAAAGCUUUAUCUUAUGUAGCACUUUUUUCGAUAUCUCGAACUUUACUCUUUAAGAAUGUUGUAUAAUAUUUCUACAAUAACAACAAACAAAUUAUAACCCUGAAAGAUCUAUAUACACCUCGAUCUCUAGCUAGUUCUCUACAAAAUAUGGCACUAAGUAACAAUGUAAUCGGAGCCAUCAACUUUGUUGCCGUACUUCUUUCAAUCCCAGUCAUCGGUGCCGGAAUCUGGCUUGCCACCGAGGCAGACAAUUCUUGUGUCAAGCUUCUACAAUGGCCAGUCAUUAUUUUGGGAAUCUUGAUUCUAGUCGUGGCUCUAGCAGGCUUUAUUGGAGGAUUUUGGCGCAUCCCUUGGCUCCUUAUACUUUAUCUCGUUGCCAUGCUCAUUCUUAUAAUAUUGCUGGCUUGUCUAGUUGUUUUCAUUUACAUGGUCACGAUUAAGGGCUCAGGUCACCUUGCACCCAGUAGAGCGUACUUGGAAUACCGCCUCGAUGAUUUUUCUGGAUGGCUACGUAGAAGAGUUCGAAGCCCUUACAAAUGGGAUCGGAUCAAAAGCUGUCUCAGCUCGACACAGAUGUGCCCUGAGUUGAACCAUGUAAAAAUGAGUUGCAAAUACUGUUUGGUUACUGAGAAACAGAGAGAAAAUUGAUGAAUAUUCCAGAUCUUAUUAUUUCAUUAAUUACAAAUGAGUAAAUCACAAGUCUUUAUACUUGCAUUUCAUUAGUAAAAGCUAUUAACGAAACUGAUCUGUAUUAACUAACUAAUACUAACUAACUAAUCACGCGAACUCUCAUUGCUGCAUAACAGAAUCAGCUGACUCAGCAUUGUUGACGUGGCAUUGCUGACGCACCUUAGCUUCUGACUUCUUCUCUCUUCUUAGCUCAGCACAAUGAGCUUUCUUCACAGCCCCUCUCAAACUCAAGGGGCAUAAAUGCACAUUGAGUUUGUUCCUCAGAUAAAUGAACUGAGAAGAGUUUAAGGGCUUAGUCAUUAUGUCUGCUAUCUGUUCUGUACUAGGAACAUAUAGAAUCUUAAGAUCUCCAGUUAGAACCUUAUCUCUGAUAAAAUGCAGAUCGAUUUCUAUGUGUUUUGUUCUUGAGUGAAACACUGGAUUAUGAGCAAGAUCUUUGGCACUUACAUUGUCACACCAUAUAACUGGUUUCUCCACACGACAUAGAUUAAUCUCAAGAAACAAAGAUUUUAUCCAUGUUAUCUCUGAAACAGCUGCUGCAAGUGCUCUGUAUUCACUUUCUGCAGAAGAUUUUGUAACUACAGAUUGCUUCUUUGAGGACCAUGAGAUUAAGUUGUUUCCUAGGUACACACAAUAUGCACCAGUGGAUCUUCUGUCAUCAAGAUCACUUCCCCAGUCUGCAUCUGUAAAUGCUGUAACCUUCAGCUCACCUUUCUUAACAAAUUUCAGCCCAUAGUCUUGUGUUUCCUUCAGAUAUCUAAGCACACGUUUGCAUGCCAUAAGAUGUUGAAGUGUUGGUGAAGAUACAUACUGACUUAGCUUAUGAACUGAAUAGGCAAUUUCAGGUCUUGUCAAAACUAAAUACUGAAGACCUCCUACAAUGCUUCUGUAAUGAGAUGGAUCUUCUAUGUAAUAACCCAUUUCCCCUUCUAUAUUCUUCUGCAAUCUGUAAUCUUUGCUGCUGCUCAUUGGUGUAUCUAUUCCUUUACACUCGAGCAUAUCAGCUUUAGCCAGCAAGUCUCUGAUAUACUUCCUUUGUGAUAGAUACAUACGGCCAAGAUCAUACAAAACUUCAAUUCCAAGAAAAUAAGAUAACUUUCCCAGAUCCUUUAAUGCAAAUGCAGAACUGAAUAGCUUGAUAAAAUCUUCCAGCUCAUCACAAUUUGAUCCUGUAAUCAAUAUGUCAUCCACAUAUAUCAGGAUUAAAAUAAUUGAUCUUUUAUUCUUUUUCAAGAACAAAGAUGAGUCAGACUUAGAAUUCUCAAAUCCCCAUUGCACAAGACUGUUUCUCAGCUUGUCAAAACAUGCUCGUGGAGCUUGUUUCAAACCAUAAAGUGCCUUGUGAAGCUUGCACACAAAAUCAGGUCUUUUGGAAUCAAUAAACCCUUCUGGUUGACUCAUAUACACCUCCUCAAUUAAAUCUCCAUUUAAGAAUGCAUUAUUCACAUCAACCUGUCUUAUUUGCCACUGAUUCAUUACUGCUAGACUCAGGACUAUUCUAACUGUUGCUGCUUUCACCACUGGACUGAAAGUCUCAAAGUAGUUCACUCCUUCUAUUUGCUGAAAUCCUUUAGCAACCAACCUUGCCUUAUAUUUUGCAACACUUCCAUCAGUAUUUGAUUUCACUCGAAAUACCCAUUUGUUGCCAACAAGUUUGUGAUGUUCUGUUCUUGGCACAAGUGUCCAGGUACCAUUUGACAUUAGUGCAUCAUAUUCAGCUUUCAUUACUUGAAACCAUCUCUCAUCAUUGAUAGCCUCCUGAACUGUAUCUGGUUCUUUAUGCAACAAUACUGCAGUAUAUACCUUUGGCUUAAAGAUACCUGCUUUCCCUCUAGUGAUCAUGGGGUGUUGGUUUAGUGAUGGUGAGGUUGUCAUUGUUUGAUUGAGAUGAGGGAUAUUGUUAUUGUGUUGGUUUUGUGAAUUUUCAUUUGAGGGCUGUUCUAAUGUUGUGUCAGGUAUAGAAGGUAACAUUAUAGGUGCAGAUGGAUUAUUUCUGUCUGUGUUUGAGGGUUGUUGAUCUGUUACCUGUGUUGAGACUACUGUUGAAGGAAAAAUGUUGCCACUGGAGUAUGCUUGAGAGAAAGAUUCAUUGCUGGUGACUGAAAAAUCUGUUAUGACAGGUAAUGUUGAUAACUGGAAAACUUGUAUAGGAGUAAUUGUGCAAUAUGUAUCAGACUUAGAUUUAUUUGAAUUAUGAAAGCUAGGAUCAGCUGCAAAUGGAUAAGAGUGUUCAUCAAAGACAACAUGCCUAGCUAUAUAUAUAUGUCCAGAGGGGUGAUAACACUUGUAGCCUUUAUGAGAUGGACUAUAACCAAGAAAAAUGCAUUUGGUUGUGUGAUAGUCAAACUUGUGCUUAUUGUAAUCUCUCAGAUAUGGAUAACAAGCACAUCCAAAGCAUUUCAGCAUUUUAUAAUCAGCCUUGUGUUUAUAAAGCUUUUCAUAUGGAGUAGACAUCUUAAGUGCAGAAGUAGGGAGUCUAUUAAUGUGAUAGACUGAGGCAUGAAAAGCAUCCCACCAGAAUUGAAAAGGGAGUUUGGCUUGAGCUAGAAGUGUCAGUCCUAAUUCUACAAUUUGUCUGUGUUUUCUUUCAACAAGUCCAUUCUGAUGAUGAGUGUAAGGGCAAGAGUGUCUAAAGAGAAUGCCACAUUCAUUUAGAAAGGCAGUAAAUGGUCUGUAUUCUCCCCCCCAGUCAGAUUGUAGAAUUUUGAUAGAAGUUUGAAAUUGUUUUUCAACUUGAAGUUUGAACAGCUUGAACACUUCUAGAGCUUCUGAUUUAAGUUUCAAAGGAUAAAUCCAGGUGUAUCUGGUAUGAUCAUCCACAAAGCUAAUGUAAUAUCUAAAGCCAUCUCUAGAAUAUGCUGGUGAGGGACCCCAUAGAUCAGUGUGAACAAGUUCUAGAGCUGAUGUGGAUUUGAUAUCAGUGAUUGGAAAAUGAAGUUUAUGAAAUUUUCCUAGUUGACAUGCUUCACAGAAAUGCUUUGUAGCUUGAUUAACAAUAUUUGUAGAGCACAAAUUGGGAUGCACAAGCUUAAGCAAAUGAAUUAGACUUUGAGUAUUAGGAUGACCAAAUCGUUUGUGGAGUAAAGACAUUUUAUUGAAUGAAUUAGUGCUACAAGUAUUCUUAUUUGACUGAAAACAUUUUCCAGAACAAGAACUAUUAACUGAAGUGCUGAAAUAACACUGAGAUAGCAUGGACACAGGCUUAUUUAUUGAGCUCUGAGAUAGAAAAGAGGUAAAUGUAGAUUGUGAUGAUGAACUCAGCUGCAAUUUGUAUAAACCUUUCUCAGCAAUACCCAGUAGCAGAAUUUUCCCUUUCAGUAUAUCCUUCACAAAGCAAACAGAACCAAGGAAUUCAACAGAUAAGUCAUUAUCAGUGGUCAGUCUAGAAACACUUAUUAAAUUCUUUGUAAUAGAUGGAACAAGCAGUAUAUCUUUAAGUGCAAUGCAUGUACUUGCAUAUUGUAUUUUAGAGCUUUGAAUUGUAAGAUUGGCAUUACCAACAUGUGUGAUUGACAAACCUUUACCAUCACCAAUGAUAAGCUUGUCAUUACCUCUAAACUCAUUGCUGACAUGCAUAUUUGCCAUACUAUUUGUUAGAUGAUGUGUAGCUCCACUGUCAAGGUACCAUCCUUCAUCUGUUGGUCCUUCAAAGUUAGCAGCAUAAGCAGCUCCAGCUCCACUCACAGGUGAGCUCAUUGAGUCAGAUAUGUAUGAAGAAUAUGGUGUAUUAUACACGUGAGGUAUCCCUGAAUAAUCAGCUGCAGCAGGCCAUGAAUCUUCAGUAGGUGCAUUAAAAUAUGUCAUAUAGGCUGAUCUCUGAUUUCUUCCUCUUUUCAUGUGUUGAGGUAUAUAAUUUUCUUCAAACCUAUGCCAACAUUCUACUGCUGUGUGUCCAGAUUUAAAACAGAUCUGACAAACAACAGUCUGUUCCUCAUUACCAUCAGAAUUCGACAAACCAGAAUUAACACUAUAUUGUCCUCUCAUGAAUUGUGCCUGCUUAUUAUUGUUUCCAAUCAUUUGACCUCUGCCAAGAUUAUUACCAAGAUUUCCAGAUCCAGAGGGAAAGCCUCUUGGAUGAGAAUUGAUAAACAUUCCUCUUCCAGUAUGAAAAUUGUUUCUUCCAAAUUGAUUUCCACCAUGAAAUCCUCCAUUAUAUCCACCUCUUCGAGCACUACCUCUUGUUUGAGCAUAAUAAGCAUUCAUCAUACCAUAGCCAUUAUUAUUAUGAGAAACAUUAGCAAGAUUUGCAUUGAACAUCUGUUUUUCAUUUAGACUCUGUUCUAAUCUUGUUUCAUGCGUGAGCAGCAAUGCAUAGGAAUCAUCAAAAUCUAGCUUACUAGCAGUAAUGAAAGUUGCUAAAUCUAGAUAGCCUGGUCCAAGACCAUUAAGGAUCUGUUGUAACAGAUCUUUGUCAGAAACUGGACUACCAGCACAGGCUAAUUUAUCUGCUAUUUGUUUCAUUUUCAAACAAUAAUCUUCUACAUUUAGUGAAUCUUUUCUCAAAACACUCAUCUCAUAUUUGAGUUGAAGAACUCUAGCUUCAGAUUUUGCACCAAACUUUUUCUCCAAUGUUUUCCACACAUCAUAUGCAGUAUUACAAGAAUGAACAUGACUGAGAAUACCUUCAGUGAUUGAGCUUAAUAGCCAGCUUAGUAAUGUCUGAUCCUGUGACCUCCAGAUUAUAUAUUCUGGAUUUUCAACUUGUUGUGUAACUCUUCCCAUUGUUUCAGCAUAGCUUCCUGAAGUAAGAAAUUGAGUAGGUGCUGCCUUUUCUCCAUUGAUGUAGCCUUCAAGUCUGUUUCCUCUUAUAGAAGCUAAUACUUGAUUUCGCCAGAGCAUAUAAUUGGAUCUAUCCAAUUUGAUUGGCGUAAUGAAUGAGAAGGUAGUUUGUAUUGAUUGAUUCAUGUUUGUUGUGUUUGGAUUUGUGUUUAAAUUGCUUGAGCUUACCAUAUUUCUGGCUCUGAUACCAUGUAAAAAUGAGUUGCAAAUACUGUUUGGUUACUGAGAAACAGAGAGAAAAUUGAUAAAUAUUCUAGAUCUUAUUAUUUCAUUAAUUACAAAUGAGUAAAUCACAAGUCUUUAUACUUGCAUUUCAUUAGUAAAAGCUAUUAACGAAACUGAUCUGUAUUAACUAACUAAUACUAACUAACUAAUCACGCGAACUCUCAUUGCUGCAUAACAGAAUCAGCUGACUCAGCAUUGUUGACGUGGCAUUGCUGACGCACCUUAGCUUCUGACUUCUUCUCUCUUCUCAGCUCAGCACAAUGAGCUUUCUUCACAAACCAGAGUUAUAGGAUGGCUCAAGAUUUCUUCAAUGCACAUAUUACCCCUUUACAGGUAAUUAUAAUUAAUUAAGUUCUCGAUUACCAUUAAUUUUAUUUUAUUUUUUUCCAUUAAUUUCUAGAAAUUAAGAUUUAUUAGAACUCUAAAGUUAAAUUCUGAUUAAAAUUUUAAUUUUUAACGUACACAUUCCUCUUUAUAAUUAUGACCGUACGUAAUUUUAUAGCAGAGGAUAAUUCCUACCCAUUAAUUAAGCUAACCCACACGCCCAUGGAACAAUGAAGAAGUAGCUAAUAAAGUAAAAACACUGUAUUAGAUUCGGAAAACCAAGUUUCAAAUCUUCUUUUCAAAAAUAUUCUUCGUCUUUAUCUUUAUUGCGUGCCUUUGUGCUUUUUUUUUUCUAUUUAUUUAUUUUUCUUGUUUACAGUCUGGAUGUUGUAAGCCUCCGACAGAGUGUGGUUACACAUUUGUAAACCCAACAUAUUGGAUAAGUCCAAUUAACAACGCGGCGGACAUGGAUUGCCUACAGUGGAGCAAUGACCAAAUGCAGCUUUGCUAUAAUUGUGAUUCAUGCAAAGCAGGAUUACUUGCUAAUCUGAAAAAGGAGUGGAGAAGAGUAGAUAUCAUAUUACUCGUUACUCUUGUUGCUUUGAUAUGGGUUUAUCUGAUUGGAUGUUGUGCUUUUAGGAACGCCAAAACUGAAGACCUCUUUCGCAAGUACAAGCAAGGCACUUACACGUAAUUGUUAGCUGCACGUAAACUCUCUUUGAUAGUAAUAUUAAUGUGUAAUUAGGGACUGGCUUGAAUUGUUAUUUUGAUAAUUUUAUGAAUUUUUUGUUUAAGAUCCGUCUUCUUGGUUACUUACAUUUGGUUAAAUUAUGUGUGGGGUUUGAUUUGAUGACGACAUAAUCUUGAGUUGUGCGUGCGUGAUUUGUGGAGGGCGCCGAAAGUAGGUGGCUUUUGAAUAUUUGCUUUUUAAGGAGAAGGGAUUUCGCACUUCCGCUCCCUGCUUGCUCGCAUAGGGCAUUAAUUGUAGCUUUGAAAAAAGUUCUGCUUCAGCAUGCGCAAAAGUCAAAGAAAUGGGACAUGUGCUCAUGCAUUAUGCAGCCAGCAUAUGGGUGAUAGCAGACGUAUUUAAUCUUUUAGUCUUUGUUGACAACUCAGCCUCUCUCUCUCUCUCUCUCUCUCUCUCUCUCUCUCUCGCUGUGUCUCUGCGUCAGGGAUCUGAUUUGUGGGAAGAUAGAUAUCGGUUUAAAAGGUUUUCAUAUGCAUCCUUGGAACUUUGUAAGGUUUACAUGGAAAUUUCUUCCUCUUCCAGUGGCCGUCGAGAACUCUUUGCUGCUGAGAUGCACCUGAAGAACGUCCUUAAACAAGUAAAACACCUUAUAAUUCGAUAUUUAAGACACUUACAGUUGGUUUAAAGAUUGCAUUUUCCGUUUCUGUUUUUGACUGGUUCAGGGUAAAACUUUUUCUCACUGUGUUAGAGUGCAUUUCUGUUAUUAUAUAGUACCUGUCAAAAUUUUCCAUUCCAAUUAGUUACAGAGUGAAUUCUGUAAGGUGUGGCGCCCCCUUGAAGGCCAGGAGAGCCGUGUUUAGGGCUUAUCACCCCUCCAAGGUGUAAUCCCUUGUAUCCCUGUAGCUUAUACCAGAGGUCCGGAGUACUGCAGACUUGUGGAGAUACGGGGCUAUGAGUUUCCAUCUUUCGGACAUCACAACACUUGUUCUGGAGAAAUUAUGGGUUUAUUUCAGAACAGAGGAAGGUUACUUCAUUAAGAGGAAUGAGAGAUUUACAAUACACUAGAUUUAGGCUCCAAGACUCGAUGCCUAGAUACAAACCAAGGGUUCCCUUUUAUAGGCACAAGGGAACCACUAUUACACACUGUAGUCAUUAUUGAUCCUUAUCUCUAAGGAAUCUAUUUUACAACUCACUCCUUACUUUAUGUCACACUCAUACUCUCAUCCUUAUCACAAAGGAUGGUACACAAUACAUACGAAUACAAAUACAUAUAUUAUUAUUAUUAGAGAUACAAAUACAUAUAUUAUUAUUAUUAAAUAUACAAAUACAUAUACGAAUACAAAGGAUGGUACACAAUACACUCUGAUAAUAAUAAUAUAUGUAUUUGUAUUCGUAUGUAUUGUGUAUCAUCCUUUGUGAUAAGGAUGAGAGUGUGAGUGUGACAUAAAGUAAGGAGUGAGUUGUAAAGUAGAUUCCUUAGAGAUAAGGAUCAAUAAUGACUACAGUGUGUAAUAGUGGUUCCCUUGUGCCUAUAAAAGGGAACCCUUGGUUUGUAUCUAGGCAUCGAGUCUUGGAGCUUAAAUCUAGUGUAUUGUAAAUCUCUCAUUCCUCUUAAUGAAGUAACCUUCCUCUGUUCUGAAAUAAACCCAUUUUGGUAUCAGAGCCAUAUUUCCCAAAAGGAAACCCCUGGGUGUGCAACAAUAUUAUGCUCUGUGGUUGCCGAAACACUUCGGAUCCUCCACAUCAGAAAGUUGUUGAAUACUGAUCUACCUGUCAAAAUUUUCCAUUCCAAUUAGUUACAGAGUGAAUUCUGUAAGGUGUGGCGCCCCCUUGAAGGCCAGGAGAGCCGUGUUUAGGGCUUAUCACCCCAAAGAAAACCCUUUGUUUUCUCUUAGCCAUGGAAAACUCAAACAGUAAUAGAUCUGGAAACCAAACAGUUUCUGACCAAGGAUCCACUUCGGCUAUCAGAGUUCUAACUGAUAGUUCACCCUCUAUAAACUUCCAUUACGAAACCCAAGAGGAUGAAAGCAGUGAGAGAGCGGUUCAGUCCUUUAGACUUGAUCCGUUAGAUCCCUAUAGAUACUACCAUAUCAAUUCUACUCUUAAUCAAUUAAGAGCCAUAAUUCCUAUUAGACAACCCAAGCUUAAAACCAUCUAUAAAUCCUCUGAGAUUACUGUCCAGUUCAUCUCCUCCAGUUCUAAAGAAACAUACCUUCCUAUAAUCUCUACCAAUGAGGUUACAAGGUAUAAGCUACAGGGAUACAAGGGAUUACACCUUGGAGCAAUCUAGAUAGGAAUACAACCAUUGUUCCUAGCUGGAAAAGAUAUCACAUGCUUCAUUGCCAUCCUUGACACUAGAUGGCAAACUUUUGAGAAAGCCUUGAUCACUGCUGUCGAAGCAGGACUCAACCAAGGUCAUGUUGUUCUCCAAGUUGAACCCAACUUCACCCUUGACAUACACAAGCCAUUUCUCACAGAUGCCAUUAAGGUAUUAAUUCAGGUCAAUGGUCUAACCAUAAAACCUGAUGAAUCUGCCUUGGCAAUUCACCACACCAUGACCUAUAAAGUCCAAACCCAUCUGUUCUCUAUGAGCAGCUCUGGCAGGCCCAUUACCAGAUUUCUUGCUGGUGAUGGCAGAGUCUUUCAACCUCGGACUUAUAGGCAAAAUCAGCUCAUUUUUCUACCUCAAUGGAUCAAUGAGUAUGAAAAAAACAGCAAGCCUCAACAAAUCCAUGAGGUUCCAAAGAUAAGCCGGUUACAAGAAGGAAGGGUAUCAGUCUCUUUUCCCACUGAGACUAAAGCCCUCUAUCCAUGUGAAAAAUGCCAGCUUGAAGGAAGGCAUCCCUCCUUGUGCACUCAUAUGCCAAGAAGAAUCACCUCCUGCAGAAUCAUGGGUCCAAUUAACAUGAUCACCACUCCGGAUCUUGAUAAUGAAUUCCUCAAGGAUAUUCCUGGAGGAAUGUAUGUUGCCAAAUGGGUAAUACAAAAAACCAACCCAACUGAAUUUGGCCCAAUUGAGAAGGCGAUCAACUGGUCAAACAUCAAUGCUGUUGAACAGAACCAAGCGUUGGGAGACAUCAUGGUUACCCAACAGCAAAUUCUUGCUGACUUAGCUGUUAUCAGAAAACAGCUAAAGAAAACCAGAAAACAGCAUAAGGUGACUACCCAGCAGUUUUCCCAAAUGCAUGACAGUGCCUCCAGAUCUAUCAACAUGAUCGUAAUGACCGGAGCUGCAGAUGAGGACGGAAUGAGAAGAACCAGAGAAAGCUAUCAAAGGACAAAAGUGUCCAGGCACUGGAAGAGCAAGCCCACAAAGCCAUGGCAUGUCUGGGAAGAAAAUGCAUCUGGCAACUGUCAAAAGGCAUUUUGGAGAAGCUAUGCUCCACCUCCACAAUAUCCAUGGCCCACUAAGGCUACAGGAUGGGAUGAGGAUAAAGAUACGGAUACUGAAACAAGUAUCUCCUCUGAUGACCAGAUCCCUCUUAUACCAAUUCUUAUGCAAAGAGCAAAUCCUCCAAAUCCAUUCUAUGUGGAUACUCGAGCUAGAUUUGCAGCAUCCACACCAACACAGGGUCAAACCUCUGAUCCUACAAGACAAGAGCAAACUCAACACCCAUCAGGAACAACCCAGUUCACUGCCCCAGAAUUCGCUAAUCCUGCUGCCCAACCAGAAGCAUCUGGAGUAGAAUCCACAAAUCAAGAAGACAGGGCACCACAUAUUGAUGAGGUAAAUCAGGGAGACGAAUGGGAAACCCGUGUCCAACUUGGGCAUUCUACGACGGGAAAAAUGUUCUGGAACAUCGAUAGAAUGAAGCCAAAAGAAAUAUUGGCUUACUUUGAAAAGAUGGUAGCUUGGUAUGAAGGAGAAUGCCAACGAACUCCCCAGUUGAGCAGAAGAUCGGCAGCAAUGAGACUUGUUGCAGGAUUCGUUGGAUCAUUGAGAAGAUGGUGGGGAAGAAAGCUCAGCAGAGAACAAAAGGAAUUCAUACUCAGCAGAGAAGACCCUUGUGGAAGCUUGGUAGAAAAUCUAUCCUUGGAUUUUCUCGGCCAACACACAAGAGAAGAAGAAGUAGCUGAAAAACAAUUUCUCCAGAACAAGUGUUGUGAUGUCCGAAAGAUGGAAGAGUACUACCUAGAGCAAGAAAGGUUGUACUACAUCUUUGACAAACAAACUGACACCAUCCACAGAACAUUCGUGCUAAACAUGCCAGGCCCAGUAGCGGAAAUGAUGGAGGCUAAAUUCAAAGCUGAUGCAAUUGUUGAUUUAGCACAGCUUAGCCUUGCUCAGCUCUAUCAGAUAUCUAUGGAGCUGAUCCAAAGUCAUUGCAGAUCUCAAGACUUAAGAAGGCACAUGAAGCAGAUUGAGAAAUCCUCUCUGCAAAAAUUCUGUAAUGAGGAACCAAACAAAUUUGGUUGCCACCAUACAGACAAAAUGUGCUCUUGCAAGAACAACAGGCAGAAAAGGCCAAAGAAACCCUGGAAGCCCUACAAAGGAAAGAAAUACCGUUUCAUCAAAAAACGAAAACAAAAGAAAGGCUCGGGGAGAUGUUUCAUUUGCGGAAAGAAAGGUCACUAUGCCAAACAGUGCAAAUCCAAGAAAAGACUUCCAGCAAAACUUCUCCAGAUGAUCCAGCAGGAAGAUUUUGAUGAUGACAUCUAUACCUGGUCAGAUAGCCCUACGGUGUUGUAUACACAAUGGAUAAAUAUCCUCUUUCAGACGACGAUGAUACAGAUUCUCUUUCUAGCACUGACAGUGAUUCUGAUGAUGAUCCUGUCAUGACCAUCCAUGAGCCUCUCCAAGCUAACCUGGCAAUGGCCCCUGCCUCUCUCUUCAGACCACAUAUAAAGGUUAUCCUCAACCCAUCUGAGGAUAAACAGGUAGCACUCACUGCUCUUAUUGACACUGGAGCAAUGUGCUCAUUCAUUCGAGAAGCUUGUGUUCCUUCCACCUUUUAUGUUCCUACUAAGGUCUCGUUUGGCUCCGCUAGUGGAAGUAACUUCUCCAGUAAAAAGAUUACCCGGCCUAUAGAAAUCCAGCCCUUUAUGAUAAGGCAUGGCUUCUUUGCCUUUGAUUAUUCAGGCGAAGAUAUCUUGCCAGGCACCGACUUUUUAAGUCUGAUUGCCCCUUUUGCCUUCUUUCCCGAUGGCUUCUCUUAUACCAUUCGGAAUCCUCACACGGGCACCACUAACACUUUCUGGGUACCCUGGGUUGAAAAACAAUCCAUUUUUGGGGAGGGUGGAAAACUACAAAAUUACACCAUCCAUAAAUAUGAACCCCAAAUUAAAGAACUCCUUGAAUGCUGUGCAGAAGUGCCAAACCAGUUUUGGGCUAGAGAACAACAUUUUGUGUCUCUACCAUACAAGGAUGGAUGGACCAUGCCUCACCAGACGGCCUCUCAUCCAGGCAUUCCUCAUGACGAAGAACUAUGCAAAACAGAGAUCCAGGCUCUUAUGGAUCUAGAGCUCAUCAGGCCCUCUAAGUCUCAUUGGGCUAGCCCAGCAUUUUAUGUCAACAAGCAUUCAGAACAGAUACGUGGAAAAAAGCGAUUGGUAAUUCACUACAGAAAACUGAAUGAUUGCUUGCAGGACAUAAGAUACCCCAUUCCACGGAGGACACACAUUUUAAAACGCAUUGCUGGUGCAAAAGUGUUUUCAAAGUUUGACAUGAAGUCAGGCUUUUGGCAAAUUGGGAUUAAAGAAGAAGACAGACACAAGACAGCAUUUGUGGUCCCCCACGGGCAUUAUGAAUGGAAUGUGAUGCCUUUUGGCCUAAAGAAUACACCGUCAGAAUUCCAAAACAGAAUGGAUGAGGUGUACAAAUCUAUCUCAGGAUUUUGCCUUAUCUACAUUGACGAUGCUCUUAUCUUCAGCAACAGUGAAGAAGAACAUGCUGAACACCUGUCCCAAUUCAAGGCACUAACCUAUAAACAUGGGUUAGCUUUGUCAGAAUCCAAAAUGAAGAUAGGCCUUGAUGAGGUGGACUUUCUAGGAUUACACAUCAAGCAGAGAUUCAUCAUUCCUCAGCCACAUAUAGCUGAAAAAAUAUCCCAAUUCCCAGACCAGCUGUCAACCAGAAAGCAGAUCCACCAGUUCCUCGGGAUAAUCAACUAUGCAGCAGACCAUGUGCAGGAUCUGUCAAAGAUGACGAGAGUCAGAUAUCAAAGCACUUAAAGAAGAGUGCCCCACAAUGGUCGGAAGACGCAACAAAAGCAGUGACAGACUUAAAGCAAAAGUGCCAGUCACUUCCACCAUUAAAGAUACCUGACAAGGGACAGCUCAUCCUCCAGACAGAUGCAAGUGACCAUUAUUGGGGAGCACUGUUGAUAGAGGAAUCCGAGGGAAACAGAAAAGUGUGUGGCUAUAAAUCAGGCCAGUUCAACGAUGCUCAAAGCCACUACCCCUCCUCCAAAAAAGAAGUCUUAGCAGUUGUCAAAGGGAUCAAAAACUUUCAAUUCUUUCUUUCACUAACUCCCUUUGUGAUUGAAACAGACUACAAAUACCUACAGGGAUUACUCAGGAGAAAAGAAGGAGAAAUACCAGAUCCACAGCUUGCAAGGUGGUCUGAGUCUCUCUCGAGAUUCAAGUUUGAAGUAAAGCACAUCAAAGGAGAAUCCAACACUGUUGCGGAUUUCCUUUCCAGACCGAUCACCAUGAUCAAAAGAAGAAGCCUUCCAAAAAGAUGGGACGAAGGCAGUUCUAGUGCUCACGCAGCCCGAGCACACUUUCUCAAAGAUCUUAACAUCUUCAUUGCUUGGCUUCCUUCGGAAGUUCAAGAUGACAUCUUUGAGAAAGUCAUCUGCCACAAAAGAGAUCCAGAAGAUCAAGCUCUGACAUGGCGGGUAUGGCAGCUCAUGGCCAUGCAGGAACACAGACCUGCCCAUAACAAACAAUGUCAAAGAGCUUUUGAUCCACAUCCAAAUCCUGACCAGAUGCAUGAAACGGUCUUCAAGGUCGGUUGCACCUUCCACUAUGUAAUAGACGAGAACUCCAACUGGGGUCACUAUGUUAUCUGCGAUAUAACCCCUCAAGCCUAUUACAUAACUUGGUACUGGCCCAACAUUUACCCAGUGGCAAUCCUGUUUGAACCACAUCUGAUCCAUACCAGCAGGAGAUAUGGGAAGGGAAGAUGGUUCGACCGAAUGUUCGCUCCUAUCUUCGAAGACAUCCUAACACUCCGGCUAAUCAACGGAUAUCACAUCACUCACUCUACUAUAGUGAUUGUGAAACUCACAGAUAUCUGGGGAAGAUACAAGCAGCCUCUUGUGCAGGUGGUCCAGCAUGACCUCAACCAUGAAGAAAUUGAUUCCAUGUGGACAGGCUGUUGGAAUGCUAGAAAAGCUUUAGCUGAGGUAUACGGAACUAUUCCAAUGUAUAAUACUCAUAGCCCCGUAUCUUCACAAGUCUGCAGUACUCCGGACCUCUACUACAGAGAGGAGAUCAGGAAUCUCAAGCUUCAUGGAGAAGAAGAUGAAGCAGCAGACUUGCAGCAGUGGUAUAAUGAUUACCUCACUCGCCAUGGCAGGCCAAAAGAAGUCACUUAUCUGGACACUCCAGAUAUUGAAAGAUGGAGGAACGAGCUUGAAGAAAUGGCCCAUUGGCUAGACCUCCAAGAUUGGCCCCAACCUGAGUUAGACCCCCAGCCGGAUAACAUUGAAGAUCCCAUAUGGCCAAAUAUGGGAGAAGAUAUGGAUGCAGCAUCCGAAGAACGAUGGAACCACAGGUCAGGACGUAGCACACCAACAAGUGGCAACUCUGGACUAUAGCGGAAGCUUAGUGGACCCUACAGUGGAAGCAAUGGUGAUAAUAAUAUAUGUAUUUGCAUUCGUAUGUAUUGUGUACCAUCCUUUGUGAUAAGGAUGAGAGUGUGAGUGUGACAUAAAGUAAGGAGUGAGUUGUAAAGUAGAUUCCUUAGAGAUAAGGAUCAAUAAUGACUACAGUGUGUAAUAGUGGUUCCCUUGUGCCUAUAAAAGGGAACCCUUGGUUUGUAUCUAGGCAUCGAGUCUUGGAGCCUAAAUCUAGUGUAUUGUAAAUCUCUCAUUCCUCUUAAUGAAGUAACCUUCCUCUGUUCUGAAAUAAACCCAUUUCAUGGUUAGACCAUUGACCUGAAUUAAUACCUUAAUGGCAUCUGUGAGAGAUGGCUUGUGUAUGUCAAGGGUGAAGUUGGGUUCAACUUGGAGAACAACAUGACCUUGGUUGAGUCCUGCUUCGACAGCAAUGAGAAGAAAAUGCACUUUUUGGAAUCUCAGGCUGAAGGAUUUUUGGUGCUUUAACUAAUCUCAUUUGACAAUGUAAAUAUAUGGCUUCAAUUUCUUUAAAUGUAAUAGCAAGUGUUGUUUUCGACCUCUGUUCUUUUAUGCAUUGCUUACAUGCCGUGAUUUCAUUAACCUAAAUUUAAGAACUGUUUGAGGGAAAUACAUCGAGGAGACCAGACGUGAUGAGCAGGUGUUUGGUGGUGGAGUUCUGCGAGCAGGAAUAUUCUCCUCGUCCACGAAUAUGCCAUUCGCGAGACCGAAUUCAUGUUAGAGGCAUAAGGUCAUUCCUGCUAAGGGUCGAGGCGAGGAGACCCGGUCAACGGCAGUUGGCAAGACGUGCCUUCCUAUCCGAGAAUCAAGGCACGAGGUCCAUCUCCAUUUGCCCACAAUGACGACAAUGGGGCAUCCACAUCCGAGGGUGGGGAGAAUAACGGGCGUAAACUGCGGAAGAUCGGGACUCAGAGGAAGCCUAUAAAAAGGUAGCCAACAAAGGUAAAAGGGUUAGAUUUUUUGCUAUUUGAACUAAGAAAAUAGAGAACUCGAAGGUCUGAGAUUAGUGAAAAGCCAUAAGAUCCGUGGCAAGCAUUCCCAGAACCUUCAUAUCUGACUUGAGCGUCGGAGGGUUUACGCCGGGAAAACAACCGGCGUGCUCUGACCUGUUUCUGUGGACGCAAGGAUACUUAGAGAAGAAAGCGUACGAGGAGAGAUCCUGAUCGAGGUGAGGUUGAUCGAGCAGACAUCCUGGUCGUUGGAAGGUGUAACCAGAAUCUCGCAUCAACAAGAACAAUUUCAUAUAAUUUUUUUUCUGCUUUUCUUUUAUCAUUUAAAAACAAUACUACGCACACACACACGCAUAUAUUUCAGAAAGCAUUUAAACAAAGCAACCGAACGUUGCUGGUUUCUAUUAUUACAUCGACAACAAUAAAGCAAAGAAGCAACUGAAAGUUAUCUUCAUAUGAGAAUGAAAGCUUUUCAGCAGCAUAAACCUUUCACUAUUCAAUUCCAAACAUGUUCCUCAACAUGAUAACAAAUUCGUAGACCUUUUCUAGGUCUAGAAGGAUCCUGGCAACAGUAUCUCUUUGCAUGCACUUGUUCAUCCAUGCUGAGAAUUUGGGGCACUCAUUCUCAAGCUUAAAUCCCCCAAAUUUCUCAACCGCGUAAAACCAACAAGUCAGUGGAAUGGAAAUGACAUCAACGAAUCCAAAGCUAUCCCCGCCAAAGAAAUCCUUCUCCCCUAAAGCGCCCUCAAGUUGCUUCAAAAUCUCUAUAAAUUCAUUCUUCGCGGUCUCUGGGACCUCGCCCUUGCUUUUCCAUAUGUUGCAUACUGCAUCGAAUACCUGCCAAAAAAGUGGUGUCAUCUUUUAAGUUCACAUUUAGAAAGAUACAAACAUUUACACUUGAGAAUUAUAGACUGACCUUCUUGUCAAUAAAAUCUUGCCUUAGCUCUCUCAUAAGCACAGGAUGGGAGAAGUGGUGGCGAAGGCCAAGUCUCGUCAAUGUAGUUAACUAUAAUAGUGGAUUCACACAAUGGUUUCCCAUCGUGCAGCAAAACUGGGACUUUCUUGUAGAUGGGUUUGAUUUGAGCAACAGGUCACUCUUGCCCCCAAACAAGUUCUCAGCUCUGGCUUCAUAUUCAACUCCUUUCUCAGCCAAUGCAAUCUUUGCUCUCAAGCAAAAUGGGCUAGCCCAACAAUCCAAAAGAACAACCUCUCCCUUCGACAUAUUCACUUUCUUUGUUCUUGUUUCUUUUACUUGGUUGAUAGUAAUUAAACCUUGAGUAUCAAGGUUGGCAUUUAUAAAGGAUAAAAGAUGAAAUUCCCAAAGUUUGUGUCGCAAUCAACGUUUGUUCGUUGGCACUUCCUUAAAGGAUGUGGCAUUAUUCUUAUCAUUUCUUAGUUUUUGAAGCUAACUGUUUUACUUGGCUUUCAACAUGCACAAGAACAAGUUUGUCUUGUGCAUACGGAGUUUACUAUGGACAAGCCGAAUUGUAAGUAACCAUUUACACUAAUCAAUCGGUAUUGUCCAAUGAAAAUAAGUAAUGUAAACUUAUCAAAAAAAAAAGUAAUGUAAAAAGUGUCUAGGAUUUUGCCUAAUAUUUCUUAAAAUAGGCUAAUUAAGCCCAAUUCUGGUGCUAGAUUGGUUCAACUUUGAAUCAAACUUGGAAACAUUUUGCUUUAGAUUAUUAUUAUUAAUUUAGAAGAGUCAAAAAGCUAAGAGUAUCGUUGGUAAAGCUCAAACAUGUGUAAUAUCACAUAUUACUUCUUUUUUUUUUUUAUACAAGUAAUAUCACAUAUUACUAGUGAGUGAGUUUCAUAAACUUUCCUAUUGAAAAAGACACAUUUUGGGUUGUAAAUCCUAACACAAUAUUUAUUCAGUUGUUGAGCCUGAAAUAUUACAGAUAUAUCAAAUAUUAUUUGAUGUGGGCGCACAACCCUGCGUCUUCUUAAUUAGGACAACCAAUGAAACCCUGCGUCUUCUUACAUAACUUGUAUGUACACAUUGGCGGGAUAUCCCAAUUAUGUACUCGUUUGUCUUCAUGUGUUUUAAAAAAAUCUAUUGUAAUGGAUAUAUUGUAAAUUUAUCUAAUUGCUUGUUAUAAUGCUUCUAUUGCGGUGUUAUUCGAGCUGUCAUUUUCAGUUUUAUUUUGUUUUUUCUUUAAACAUAGUUAAUUUGAAAUCCAUUACACUUGAAUCAUCAAAUAAGUGAUUCUCGAACAUAAUUGCUGUUGUUACUCGAAUAAGAAAAGAAAACAAAGUAUAGCUAAGAUAAAAGCAAAUGGAAAUGAGAGCAACGUGAUUUUGCAAAGAGAACUUCACACUAUCAUAAAACCAAAAACAUUAAAAUUUAAAACUUAAAUAACAACACACCAAAGCCAAAUAACGACCCACUAGAAUCAUGGUCCAAAGAUUGUACCAUGAUCACAACAUGAACUACAAAAAAAUAACCAACACCUGAAAAGUAGGAACAGUUUGAAACUUUCAACUAAAGUGGGAAAGACCAGGAUGGCACUGCAUGCCCAGCCCACCAACAUUAAAUGCUUUUUUCCCUUAUAAUUUAUCAGUCACAUAAUUUAGAGUGAAGACUUUAAUGCUGUGUUUACUUGCUGGAGUGGGAGUGAGGAGUGUGGAUUCCUCCCACUCCAGCGUUUACUUUCUCUGAAUGGGAAGGGAGUGGGAAUUCCACUCCGUGGGCCCCACCCAUUUUUGGAGUGGGGAGUGGGAGUGGGACUCCCAUAUUCCCACUCCCACCUCUCCCUUUUUUACCCUUUUAUUUUUUUAAUUUAAUUUAAUUUAAUAUUUUAUAAUUAAUAAAAUAAAAUAAAUAUUAUUAUAUUUAUUUGAAUAAUAAUAUUAUAUUUAACUAAAUAAUAAUUUGCAUUGAUUCUAAGUUAAAAUUAUUUUAAAAUAAUAUUAUUAUAUUAAUAGAGAAUUAAUAAAUAUAAUAUUAUUAUAUUUAUUUUAAAAAUAAUAGUACUAUAUUUAUUUAAUAUUAAUAAAUAGUUUAUUCUAAGAAAAUAUUAAUUUUGUACUAAAUAAUAUUAUAUUAUUAUUUUAUAUAAUAAUAAAUUUAAUAUAAUUAUAUUAAAUAAAAUAAGGUUUCAUUUUGUAUUAAAAUUAAUAAUUUAUUGUUGAUAAUUAAGAAUAUUAAUAAUUAUAAUAAAUUUACAAAUAUAAUAAAAUAAAUAUUAUUCAUUAAAUAUAUUUUUUAUUAGUUUUGUAAUUAAAAAUUAUAAUUCUUUAAAUAAGAAUAAAAUUGUAAUUUGAAACUAUUUACUCCCAAUCCAAGACAAAGUAAACACAUAAAUUGGAUUUUGAUCUCUAUUCCAUGCUUCCAUUCCAGUGUAAGUAAACAACCUACUCUCACUCCCACUCCACACUCUCAAUCCUAGGAUUUCCACUCCUCAGGAUUCCCAAUCCAAUCCAAAAAGUAAACGCUACCUAAAAGCAAAUAAAUGAAUUGGCUGAAUCUAGCUAGGAUGCCAGGAUGGGCACGGAUCCACAGAUAACAAGUAACAGUCUUUAAAUCUUCUGUUGUAAGUUCUUACGCCCCUUUUUUUUUAUACGACGAACCCCCGAUUCUACCCUCCAAAAUCAACAAUAGAGAAUUUAGUCUUAGCCUCUCAAGAUGCACUCAAACCUAAGGAUGGCAAUGGAUCAGAUCUGACCCAAGAUCCAUGUGAUCCAAAUCCAAUUGGAUCGAAUUUGGGUCGGAUUAAAAUAGAUUUGGAUCGGAUUUGGAUAUCGAUGCGUGGAUCUAAGGCGGAUCUGGAGCAAAUUCAGAUUUAUCUUAAUAUCUAUAUCCAAAUCCAUAUCCACUCACCAUUUAAUGUAAUUUUAUUUUAAAAAAUUCUUAACAAUUAUGUAAUUAUAAAUGAUGAUAAAAUUUAUUCAUUAGCAUGUAUUUAAGAAUCUUAAAACUUAAAGGUACUUAAUUGAUAAUAAGAUAAAAAUUUAUCAAGUGUAAAAUAAAAUUAGGAUAGUCUGCCCUAAUUUUUUUAAGUUUUUCACUCUACAAUUUAGUCUCUUUUUUCCUCUUUAGUCUACUCUCGCUUCUCCACUUCAUUUGAAUGCUUGGAUCAGUUCUUUAAUUGUUAGGAAAAUCCAUAGACUUGAGUUUAUUUUUCUAUCAUUUUCUCAUAAUCUUAUUUAUUUUGUAUAAUCACUAAUCAAUGGUGGCUAUCAACUAUAAAAUAAUUAUGUUAAUCAUAUAUUUAGUUAAAUAUGAUCAUAAUAAAAAUAAUAAAGCACUGAAUAUAAUAAAUCAUUUUUAACUUAUAUGUUAUUAUUUAAUGAUAUAGGAAUGAUGAUGGUGUGCAGUGGAUAUCAAGAUAGUAAAUGAGACAUUAGAAUAUUAUAAUGAUCUUAUUCAUGCAAUUACUUUUUAUCGAUAUUUUAUUAUCUUUUUUAUUUGUUUAUUUUGGUGUAAAAGCAGAAGCUACAAUACUUAUUAGAUUUUUUGUACAAAUUAUAUAAUUUAAUUGUUACCAAUGCAUUUUAGUCUUAAAUUUUUUUUCUAAAAAAAAUUGAUCUCUUAUUAUUGAGAUUUAGAAUUCAUGAUGGAUCUAGAGCAUAUUUAGAUUGUAAUUUUUCAAUUUGGAUUUGGAGCAGAUAUAGAUCUUUAUUUUUGUUUCGAAUCUAGAUAUGGAGCGAAAAUAUAGAUCCAUAACGGAUCUGGAGCAGAUACAGAUCUUAAUUUUUAUUACGGAUCUGGAUAUGGAGCAAUGUAGAUCCAAUCCAUAUCUGCUCCAUUGCCAUCCCUACUCAAACCUUGAGUAUGGUUUUUACUUACGUAUUAUCGAUUAUGAUUUUAACUAAUCUCUCUUGUCAACGAACUUUUGGUUGAUUAUGGACGCCUUUUUUUUUUUAAUCUAAACAAUAUAAGAUUUCGUACAAAUUGAAUUUGUAUAGACCUCAUCAUUUGGAACUUGUGUUGUAUCCAAAAAUAUCACCCAACCCAAAGAAAAUAAGUUCAAUUCUAUAACUCAUUCAUUUUUCUUAUAGCCCAAUGGAUUGAGAGAAUAGGCGUCAGAGGAAACUUUAUUUCAAUAUAUAAAUAUAGGCUUGCAUACAAUGCAAAAUCAUAUAUUCGAACCAAUAGGCGAAGCAUUGUCCCUCGUUGAUCCACAUGAGCCAACUAGUCAAAGUGGAUCCACAUGAGCCACUUUACAGACUGGGCAUGCAUUGCAACUGUUCAUUUUUGCUUCUGCCAAUAAAGAGUUGAUAGUAACCAAAGAUUGUAUUCUUUAUUGUCAUUUGAGAGUAACCAAUUACUUAGGCAGUCACGUAAGUUGCUGGUUGGCCUCGCACAUUUUUGACCAGCUUGUUUCUGAAGGAAACCAGCUGAGCUGCAACCUCUUCCAUGCUCAUUCGUUCUCUCGGCAACUCUGAAGAGCAAGUGACUCCGAUUGCCAGUACUGAAACCAAGCACUCUUUAACACUAAAACUUCUGGUCCAUUGUUUGUGAGCAUUGGCCUUGCUUGUCUCCCCUUCUUCUCUUUCUACAAGAAGCACUGGAUCAACAAUUUCAGCGAGUCUUUCAGGAAGAGCUUCCUUGACAAAAUUAUGUAGGGUUAGAUUGCCUGUAAACAUCUCAUUCGUCGGCCCCUUUCCUGUAAACAUUUCCAGCAAGAGUAUUCCAAAACUGUACACAUCUCCACUUGUUGAGACUUCGCUCCCCAUUCCGUACUCUGCAAUUCGAAAACUAAAAUUGUUGGUUCAACUAGUAAAAUCUCUAAGGAUUGAAAGACAAGUUAAUUAAAUUAUUGUAUUUACCUGGUGCAGCAUAACCAACGGUUCCUUUUACUCCAACAGAGCUUGAUUGAUUAGAUGACAAGUUAUUGGUGGCUUCCGGAAGGAAUUUUGCUAAUCCAAAAUCACCUACAUGGGCAGUCAAUUCACCAUCCAGAAGAACAUUGCUUGGCUUGAGAUCACAAUGGACUAUUGGAGUUUCGCAAUAAUGAUGAAGAUAAUCCAAUGCGGAAGCAACAUCAACGGCAAUAUUCAGUCUUUGCAGGAGAUUUAAGUUCCUUGGUGCCUCAGCGUUCGGAUGCAACCAUUCCUCCAGGCUCCCGUUGACCAUGAACUCAUAAACUAAAGCCUCGAAAUCAUUUCCUUGGAAGUCAACACUUGCACAGGAAGUUAUUAUUUUGACAAGAUUCCGAUGCCUAAUACUCCUCAAGGCUUGACACUCCGCUAUGAAACUCUUUGAAGCUCCACGAUGCUGAAGAUUAAGUACCUUAACUGCCACCAGCGUUUCAUGAUCAUCGUGACUGAGGAUUCCUUUAUAGACCGAACCAAAGCUACCGGCACCAAUCAAGUUUUCCAAAGAGAACCCAUCAGUUGCUUUGAACAGAUUCUCAUAGGACACUCGUAAAACCGAAGCCAAGAAUGCUGAUGGAGUGGCCGGCUCCCUUUUUGAUUUGCUCCGCCAGGAAGUAAUUAUAAAACACGACAUCCCUGUCACUAACAAAAUUACUGUAACUACAGGAAUCAUCAGUUUCAGGGAACGGGAACGUGACUGCUUGGAUUCUUUGAUGGAACAAGUAGAUAAAUGCAACUCAGAUAUGCCACCACAGAGGUUAUCAUUUCCAUCAAGAGAUAUAGCACUUGAAUUGCUGAAGACUCCUUUUACUGGUACUUCACCCUCAAAAUGAUUAAAAGACAGAUUUAAAUUCUGCAAAAAGGGAAAGUUUUCCAAAUAUUUUGGAAUCCGGCCGGACAAAUUGUUCCGCGAAAGAUCAAGAUUCUCAAUGCCUCUCAAAGAACUGAAUGACGAAGGUAUAUUCCCUUGAAAGAAAUUACCAUUCAUGAUGAGUUGCACCAACAAAAUGCAACUUCCUAAACUACUUGGAAUUUCACCAGACAAUUUGUUCUCAGAUAUAUCUAUAAAACCCAGAUUUUUCAAGAUACCAAAAUUUGAGGGCAUAGGACCAUUCAACUGGUUUUGAGAUAGAUCAAGAUAGAUUGACAAGGAAGAGAGGCCAAUUACUUCAGUGGGUAUGGUACCACUGAGGUUGUUAUUAGAAAGAUUUAAUGAUAUUAAGUUUUGGCAUUUCCCCAGACUUGAUGGAAUGCUUCCCUCUAACAUGUUUUCCUCAAAAUUUAGUGUAGUUAACAAUGUCAAAUUUCCUAUAGAAGAUGGAAUUUCCCCCCAAAACUUGUUCCCCUUCAGGCCCAACCUCUGCAGCUUUUGAAGAUCUCCUAUACUUUCCGGAAUUCGGCCUGUGAAUUUGUUGCCCCCCAGAUGUAAAAGCUCCAAGUUAACAAGAUUUCUUAAUCCACUUGGGAUAUUUCCGAACAACUGAUUGUUUCCAACUGAUAAUAUUGCAAGUCGGUUUGACAAGUUCCCUACUGUUUCAGGUAACAUUCCACCAAAAUUGUUAUCACUAAUUUGCAGUAGCUCUAGUCUAGAAGCGUUAACCAAAGAAUUGACAAAUUCCAAGUUAUCUUUUUCCCCAUAAUUUCCUAAGUGAUUCUGAGAAAUACUAACCCAUUGGAGUUUAUGUAAAUUUUCCAAACUAGGCACCCUUCCACUGAAUCCAUUCUUUGCGAUUGUAAGUCUCAUUAGAUUUGAGGCAUUGGAUAUUGAAGCCGGAAUAGGUCCGGUAAACUGAUUACCACCAACGUUUAGUACUUCAAGUUUAGGAAGAGUGAAGCCUAAGUCUGAUGGAAGGCUUCCUUGAAGUUGGUUAAAAGGAAAAUAAAAACCACUAAGCCAAGACAAGUUGUAGAUUGAAAAGGGGAUUUCACCUGAUAGCUUAUUUGCUCCAAACGAUAUAUAACGCAUCAUCUUAAGCUCGCUCAGGGUUUCAGGAAUUUGUCCCACAAAUUGAUUUGCAGCUGCUGAGAGGACCUGGAGUGAUGACAAAUUGCCGAAGGAAGGUGGGAUUUCUCCUGACAAAUUGUUGGAGUGUAUUACGAGAAUCCGGAGCUUUGGUAAGGAGCCCAGUUUCCCUGGAACUUUCCCCACUAGCUCAUUGAAGUCUAACCAGAGGGAUUCAAGGUUAACGCAAUGCGAUAUGUUGUCAGGAAUUUGACCUCCGAAUGUAUUGUUGUCCAGCCUUAAAAUUCGUAACCUGAACAGAUAUCCAAUCGCUUGAGGGAUUUCGUUGCGGAGGCUAUUGUUUUUUAGAUCUAACACUCUGAGAAAACUCAAAUUACCAAUGUGAGGCGAAAGAGACCCCUGCAAGAGUAAAGAUGGAAGACGUAAUCCAGUCACCCUUUGGUGCCGUCGACUGCAAGUGACACCUUUCCAUUGACAAAAGUGCCUGGAAUAGUUCCAUGAACUCAAAACCUCAAGAGGGUCAUGAGUAACUUUGGCCUUGAAUUCAAGCAAUGCAAGUUGAUCAGUUUCAUUGCUUUUGAGCAUAUAAUCGGUUGACUGCAAGCUGAAGCUGACGCAACAGAAAAUAAAGAAACAAAUGCUUACAAUGAUUGAACUCAUCAUGUUUACAAAAUCCAUUUAACUGCCGAAAGGAAAUUAAAAUGAUAAAACUUUUAUAGAGGUUGGUAAGAUAAACUAUGUUUGUAUAUUUUUUGCAAUGAUUUAUGGACUCUGUACUUGAUGCUCAAAUGUGAACCGGCUGGCACCGUGACAGUGAAACUAAUGCUUUUUAUUUUUCUAAUAAUAUUAAUUAUCAAAUUUAUUACUAUUGUAAGAAUAAUAUAAUACAGCUUUUCCUUUAAGGAAGACCCGCCACACUAACUUUUGACGCUCUAUCAGUUUCCAGUAUUUUGUCAUUUUGUAUUGUAGUGCUUAAUCCACAAUGAAUAUAAAACAAUUUAAUCAACAUUAUUAGAAAAAGAAAAAAAGUAGGAGAAGAAAGUUAAGUAUGAUGGAUGGAGGGUCAGAUUACUGUUAAAUGACUUAAAGGUUUAAAGCACCACAGGAAUCAACGUUUCACAACGCUUUUUUCCCUUUCUGAAAUAUUCGGUGCAUUAGUUGACUAGAAUUAUAAUAUAUCAAACAACUACAAGAAAUAUUUUAAUUUAUCAUUUUACUAUUAUAUAUUUACAUAACUUAUCAUUUUACUAUAUUUCCGUAGUACCAUUAGUUGACUAGAAAAAUGUUAAUUUUACUUUUGAAAAAAAACACAAAUGGAUAUAUUAAAUAUUUUUAGCUACUUUUUAUUUUGAAUUUAUAAUGUUGUAAUACUUUGUGUUAUUAUUACUUUUUAUUUUGCAAAAACAAAUUAUAUAAAGAGAAAAAUUAAUAUUUUAUCAAUUAACUAAUUGAUCUAUAUUAAUUGAAAUAUAAUAAAUUAAUAUUUUAUCAAUUAACUAAUUGAUCUAUAUUAAUUGAAAUAUAAUAAAAUAAUAUUUUAUUUUUAAAUAUAAUAAAAUAAUUUUCCCAUGAAAGAAAAUGAUGAGUUGUUUCAACGUAAUGCAGCUGCCUAGACUACAUGGAAUUUCACCAGGCAAUGACAAUUUAUUCUCAGAUAAAUCUAACGCCACAACAUUUAUCUAGUCACCCAAAUUUGCAGGCGUUCGUUUUGAGACUUGUCAAAACUUUUUCCAAAAAUUCGGGAUUCAGGUCAUAUCAGGCCGGUUAUGUUUUGAAAAACUUGUAAAUUAUCAGUGAUCAAACUUCAAAACUUUGCAAAUAGGUCAAAAUACGGAAAAAAACUUGAUAUAUUAUUGAAUACUCAUUUUGUUUUGCAUUAAUAUAACGCUAUGGGUGAUAUCUAGUUCUGUUGGUAAAAUUUCUUGGGUUGAAAACAAGAAAACUAGCAUUUCAAACUCACUCAUAUGGAUGGGAAAGAAAUUUAGUUAUUAUUGGAUUAAAAAAUAAUAAUGAGAAUUAGAAAAAAAUUAUAAGGCUUCAACGAGAUUUGCUAAUCAUGUAUAGAUUAAUAUGGAGAUUAAGAACAUCACCUAAGCUAAUUAUUGAACUUGAAAGUUUAGGAGAAAAAAUUAUAUGGGUUUGGCCAUCAAUUUAGCAUUCGGAACUUAUUGUUUAGGAAGCUACGGCGGGUUUCGUAGUGGGACUUAUCCUCUUUAAUGCAUAUGGUGAUUUUAAACCAACAUAUAUAUAAUCCUAUUAUAAAACUCAUCAAACCUUCUAAAAUAACAUGUUGAGAUAGUGUGCUAGAUCCAUAUAAAUAUUUCUCCAACUUCUUAGCUUGAAGCGAUAUUCAUUUCCAUUGAUAGUUUAAUGGGCAAAGCCUUUUGAAUUCUCCAUGUUAUCAAGUUAACUUUUGCUGGAAAAUGCAAUGCGGAUAUGAAUAGAAUUUUUUGUGCAAACAAUUUUUCUAUGUUGACACAUCCUCUGGAACUUUCAGUAAAUUUUAUGGAGAAGCUUCAAUUUCUUGGUUGUUGAUUUCGAAUACAUUAAGCUCUUAUUUGGUAUUAAAGUAUUGUGGGCUAAAAGCUAUAGUUUUUAUGGAAAGAAAUUUGUAAUUGCGAAAUAAAAGUUGAUUCAGUGUGAUAAAUAUAAUUUCAGAAUAAAAAAUAAAGUAAACUUCGAAAUUAUAAUAGUAAGUAUUUAUUAAAUACUUUAGUGUUGCAGUAACUGUUUACUACAAUAUCAAAUAGGGGGCUAGUACAACAAGUUGUUAUAUUAAAAGUCUCCCAAAAAGGAAGAAGUGACUUAAAAAAUUAAAAGAAUGCAGGAGCUGAAGUUGGCAAUUUUGUAAAUUGCAAUGGCGAUUGUGAUAUAGUAAAAUCCUUCAAUGAAUCACAGCACUAGCGAUUUCGUAAUAUACAGUAGCGGCAAUUUUGUAAAAUUGAAGUAGUGAUAGUUUUGCAAAUAAAAGUAAAAACUUUUUCCCAAAAUUUGGCUGAGCAAAAAGCCAGCUUAGCCCACACUCUCCUUCGCCACUGGUUGAUGAGCUCUUCCUUCAAUUUUUGAACUUGAAGUGAUGCCCCAUCAACGUCCAGAAUUUUUAAAGUCUCCCCACUGUACAAGUUAAACAAUAAAGUCAGAAUGAUGACGGAGUUACAAACAAUCAAAUAUGAUCCUAAUGAUUCUUUUUAUACACUCACCCGUGCAUUGAUGUGUUUAAUUGAUAUAUAUUUAAGCAGAAAUUGAAGUUUGAACCUGAUUAAUUAGAUGCGAACACACAUUCAUGAGUAAUUACUUAAAAUUAAUUAACCAAAAGAGUAAAUAUAGGAGGAAAUCGAUCAUAUGCGUGCGGACACCACAAUCGAAUUAUAUAUUUAUAUCACCACAGCACAUAAAUUUUAUUCGAAUGAUAUAUGAUUAAUUAAUCAAUUUUUAAUAACAAUUAAAUUAUAAUGUCAAUUGUGCACAUAAGAUUUUUUUUCUUGAUGAAAUUAUGAAAGUUAGUAAUUAUUUUCCAUUUUUUAAAUAAUAGUUGUUAAUACAAAUCAAAAAAAUAUUGGGACUUGAGAUCAGGGUCUACUUGAGUUAGAAUUUUUUAUUAGAGAAGCUAUUAGCCAGCAAUACAAAAUAAAGAAGCAACACAAGAUAAAGAGUAAUAUAUUAUAGAAAGAUUUUAUUCGUUUCAAGUGUGUAUCAAACAAAGAGAUAUUUAUAGUUACAUAAUUACUACAUGAAAUUAAUGAAAACAUUAUGGAUCAUACUUCCUUGCGAGAUAGUGAAAGUUAUAGAGAAGGCAAAGGUUGCUAGUGGAAGAUAGUAGAGAGAUUAAGAGAUGUAUGUUAUAAACAUCCAGAUUUAUUUUAAUAAAUUCAUAGCAUUUUUUCCCCUCAAAUAAUAGGGUGUAGAGAACAAUUGGAAGGAGUUUACGCAGCCUAUAAAUUAAUACUCUGACGAAUUAAUAUCCUCUAUUAUAUAAUGACUUUUUUUAAGCACACUAAUAGGCUAAAAUGACAGUUCCAAUAAAUAAAUAAAAUAAUAUAUUUUUUUUGAAAACCCUUACAUAAUAUUGUGGUCCUACUCAUAUCAUAAAUUAAUAAUUUUUAAAUUAUAUAUAAUUAUUACACAUAAAUUAUAUAUUUUUUAAUAAAUUCAUAAUAUUUUUUCUCAAAUAAUAGGGUGUAGAGAACAAUUAGAAGGAGUUUACAAGACUCGCCUAUAAAUUAAUACUCUGGCGAAUUAAAAUCCUCUAUUAUAUAAUAAUUUUUUUUAAGGUUGCUAGUAGGCUAAAAUGAUAGUUCCAAUAAAUAAAUAAGAUUAUAUUUUUUUUUAAUGAAAACCCUUACAUUACAUUAUGGUCCUACUCAUAUAAUAAAUUAAUAAUUUUUAAAAUUACAUAUAUAAUAUUUUAUUUUAAAAAUAUGAUUUUAUUUUUUAUUAUUUUUUCUUGAAAUUUAAAUAUAGUUAGAUUUCAUCUCUAAUUUUUCUUAUUACUUUUGAGGUUAAAUUUUGAAAUUGCAAAAAUUUUGAAUUUUUUUGGUUAAUUAAAUCUGCAGUGAGUGUAUAAGAUGAUUAGAUUAGUAAAAUAUAAUAAAUUUUUAGUUGAUUAAAUAUAUGUUCAUUUAAUAUGUCUUGUGUAUACAGAGUUUACUAAGGACAAGCCGAAUAGUAAGUGAGCAUUUACACUAAUCAAUCGUGUUGAGUUGUGUCUCAUAUUGGCUAGUAAAGGGGAGAUACUUGGGUUUAUAAGAAGGUAUGUCACUCCACCUAAAAGACUAGUAUUUUGGGUUGGAUACCUAGAAAUCUUAUGUUAAGUCCCCUCAACAAAUCGGUAUUGUGCAAUGAAAAUAAGUAAUCUAAAAAUUGCCUAGGAUUUUGCCUUAUAUGUCUCAAAAUAAGCUAAUUAUGCCCAAUUAUGGCACUUGAUGGUUCAACUUUGACAUCAAAGUUGGAAACGUUUUUCUCUAGGGUGAGGCUAUUUGCACUUGAAUAUCUACUUUGAACACUCAUUUACUCAGCGCACUCAAUUAAUAAUUUCAAACUAUUAAAUUUUACUUGGAACACUCUUUUGAAUUCCUAUAUUAUCCACAUUUCUUUAAUUACUUUAUUUCUUCUUUGUACCCAAUAAAAUAUUCAUCAUCACAAACAAAAUAUCUAACUUUUUUUUUCCAUUUUUAUUCACUUUUAUUUUCUGUUCAUAAUCUGUUUUGAUAUGUAUUUGUUCUUCUCUUAUUGCUACAAUUUAAUUCUGUUUGUCAACCCAUAAAAGCAUGCGAAUUGAGUGAAAAUCAAAGUGCAAAUUUAAAACAAAAUCCUUUGAUUUACUUGCGUUUUCUUAUGUUGGAGUGGUGCAAUUUGUUGUUUGUCCUCCACCUCUAUUUUUAAUUCCUUUUGUUUCAGUUAUAAAGAUGAUCAUGAACAUGUUACUUGAUGUUUUCCUAGCAAUUCUAUUAACCAAAAAAAUGAAAAAAAAAAGUUUAGUCCAUAAGUAUAGACAAUGUUUUCAUUUGAAUAUUGAUUCAAUUCUUCGUUGUUAAUGUGGUUUAUUGUAGAUAAAAUAUAAUGUUAGAUAAAAAUUUGUUAUACUGUAUUUUAUAAUUGUCCUUAAUAGAAAAUUACAUUAAGGUUAAUUUAGUAAUAUAAAAAUUAUUAAAUGUGAGUGUCCAAAGUAAAUUUUAGAGUGCAUAUAGUCUCACCCUUUUCUUUGUGUUAUUAUAAUUAAUUUAGAAAGAGUUAGAAAGCUAAGAGUAUCCUUAGUAAAGCUCAAAUAUGUAAUACAUAUCACUAGUGAGUGAGUUUCAUAAACUUUCCUAAUUAAGUAGAUGAAUUUUGGGUUGUAAAUCCUAACACAAUAUCUAUUCAGUUGUUGAGCCUAAAAUAUCACAACUAAAUCGAUAUUGUCCGAUGUAGUCAUGCAACCCUACAUCUUCUUAGUUAGGACAAUUCAUGAAACCACUUAUUUGGGAUGUAGGAGAUGAUACAAAAUUUGUAUGUGCACGUUGGCUUAAUAUCCCAAUUACACACUCGUUUGUCUUCAUGUGCUCCGAAAAGAUCUAUUGUAAUGGAUAUAUUGUAUCUUUAUCAAAGUGCUUGUUAUAAUGAUUCUAUUGUGGUGUUAUUCGAGUUGUCACUUUUAGUUUUUGAUUAUCUUUUUUAAACAUAGUUAAUUUGAAAUGUUCUUUAAUAUCCAACACACUUGAGAUCAUCAAAUAAGUGAUUCCCGAACAUAAUUGCCUCUGAUCAUUUUGUUUGUGCCAAUAAAGGGUUGAUACAAACCAAAGACUUCUUGUCUUUAUUGUCAUUUGAGAGUAAUCAAUUACUUACGCAGUCACAUAAGUUACUGGUUGGCCUCGCACAUUUGAGAGUAACCAAAUGGAAAUGAGAGCAACGUGAUUUUCCAAAGAGAACUUCACACUAUCAUAAAACUGAAAACAUUACAAUUUAAAGCUUAAAUAACAACACACCAAAGCCAAAUAACGACCCACUAGAAUCAUGGUCCAAAGAUUGUUCCAUGAUCACAACAUGAACUACAAAAAAAAAAAAAAAAAAAAAACCAACACCAAAAAAGUAGGAACAAUUUGAAACUUUCGACUAAGCAACAUUUAUGAUCACAUCAGCAGUCCUAAACACAUCUUCUAACAAUUGCAACUGUUCAUUUUUGCUUCUGCCAAUAAACAGUUGAUAGUAACCAAAGAUUGUUGUCUUUAUUGUCAUUUAAGAGUAACCAAUUACUUACGCAGUCACGUUAGUUGCUGGUUGGCCUCGCACAUUUUUGACAAGUUUGUUUCUGAAGGAAAGCAGCUGAGCCGCAACCUCUUCCAUGCUCAUUCGUUCUCUCGGCAACUCUGAAGAGCAAGUGACUCCGAUUCCCAGUACUGAAACCAAGCACUCUUCAACACUAAAAUUUCUGGUCCAUUGUUUGUGAGCACUGGUCUCGCUUGUCUCCCCUUCUUCUCUUUCUACAAGAAGCACUGGAUCAACAAUUUCAGCGAGCCUUUCAGGAAGAGCUUCCUUGACAAAAUUAUGCAGGGUUAGAUUGCCUGUAAACAUCUCAUUCGUCGGCCUCUUUCCUGUAAACGUUUCCAGCAAGAGUAUGCCAAAACUGUACACAUCUCCACUUUUUGAGACCUCACUCCCCAUUCCGUACUCUGCAAUUUGAAAAUUAAAACUGUUGGUUCAACUAGUAAAAUCUCUAAGGAAUGCAAAAGAAGUUAAUUAAAUUAUAGUAUUUGCCUGGAGCAGCAUAACCAACGGUUCCUUUAACUCCAGUAGAGCUUGAUUGAUUAGAUGACAAGUUAUUGGUGGCGUCCGGAAGGAAUUUCGCUAAUCCAAAAUCACUUACAUGGGCAGUCAAUUCACCAUCCAGAAGAACAUUGCUCGGCUUGAGAUCACAAUGGACUAUUGGAUUUUCGCAGUAGUGAUGAAGAUAAUCCAAUGCGGAAGCCACAUCAACGGCAAUAUUCAGUCUUUGGAGGAGAUUUAAAUUCCUUGGUGCCUCAGGGUUUGGAUGCAACCAUUCCUCCAGGCUCCCGUUCACCAUGAACUCAUAAACUAAGGCCUCGAAAUCAUUUCCUUGAAAGUCAACACUUGCACACGAAGUUAUUAUUUUGACGAGAUUCCGAUGCCUAAUACUUCUAAAGGCUUGACACUCCGCUAUGAAACUCUUUGAAGCUCCUCGAUGUUGAAGAUUAAGCACCUUAACUGCCACCAGCGUUUCAUGAUCAUCAUCAUUGAGGAUUCCUUGAUAGACCGAACCAAAGCUACCGGCACCAAUCAAGUUUUCCAAAGAGAACCCAUCAGUUGCUUUGAACAGAUUCUGAUAGGACACUCGUAAAACCGAAGCCAAUACUGCUGAUGGAGGAGGGGCCGGCUCCCUUUUUGAUUUGCUCCGCCGGGAAGUAAUUAUCAAACACGACAUCCCUGUCACUAACAAAAUUACUGCAACUACAGGAAUAAUCAGUUUCAGGGAACGGGCACGUGAUUGCUUUGAUUCUUUGAUGGAACAAGUAGAUAAAUGCAACUCAGAUAUGCCACCACAGAGGUUAUCAUUUCCAUCAAGAGAUAUAGCACUUGAAUUGCUGAAGACUCCUUUUAUUGGUACUUCACCCUCAAAAUGAUUAGAAGACAGAUUUAAAUUCUGCAAAAAGAAAAAGUUUUCAAAAUAUUUUGGAAUCCGGCCAGACAAAUUGUUCCGCGAAAGAUCAAGGUUCUGAAUGCCUCUCAAAGAACUGAAUGAUGAAGGGAUAUUCCCUUGAAAGAAAUUACCAUUCAUGACGAGUUGUUCCAACCUAACGCAACUUCCUAGACUGUUUGGAAUUUCACCAGACAAUUUGUUCUCAGAUACAUCUAGAACACCCAGAUUUUUCAAGAUGCCAAAAUUUGAGGGCAAAGGACCGUUCAAUUGGUUUUGAGAUAGAUCAAGAUAGAUUGAUAAGGAAGAGAGACCAAUCACUUCAGUGGGUAUGGUACCAGUGAGGUUGUUAUUAGAGAGAUCUAAUAAUAUCAAGUUUUUGCAUUUCCCUAGACUUGAUGGAAUGCUUCCCUCUAACAUGUUUCCGUCAAAACUUAGUGUGAAUAACAAUGUCAAAUUUCCUACAGAAGAUGGAAUUUCCCCCAAAAACUUGUUCCCCUUCAGUCUCAACCUCUGCAGCUUUUGAAGAUCUCCUAUACUUCCCAGAAUUCGGCCUGUGAAUUGGUUGUCCCCAAGAUCUAAAAGCUCCAAGUUAACAAGAUUUCCUAAUCCACUUGGGAUAUUUCCGAACAAUUGAUUGUUUCCAACGGUAAAUCUUUUAAGUCGGGUUGACAAGUUCCCCACAGAUUCAGGUAACAUUCCUCCAAAAUUGUUAAUACUAAUUUCCAUCAUCUCUAGUCUAGAAGCGUUGACCAAAGAACUGACAAAUUCCAAGUCAUCUUUUUCCCCAUUUCCUAAGUGAUUCAGAGAAAAGCUAACCCGUUGGAGUUUAUAUAAAUUUUCCAAACUCGGCACCUUUCCACUGAAUCCAUUUUUCUGGAUUGUAAGUCUCAUUAGAUUUGAGGCAUUGGAUAUUGAAGCAGGAAUAGGCCCAGUAAACUGAUUAUUACCAAAGUUUAGUACUUCAAGAUUAGGAAGAGUGAAGCCUAAGUCUGAUGGAAGGCUUCCUUGAAGUUCAUUAACAGGAAAAUCCAAAAGACUAAGCGAAGACAAGUUGUAGAUUGAGAAAGGGAUUUCACCUGAUAGCUUAUUUGCUCCGAAUCCUAUUGAACGCAUCCUCUUAAGCUCGCUCAAGGUUUCAGGAAUUUGUCCCACAAACUGAUUUACAGCUGCUGAAAGGAACUCGAGUGAUGACAAAUUGCCAAAGGAAGAUGGGAUUUCUCCUGACAAAUUGUUGAAGUGUACUGCUAGAGUCCGGAGCUUUGAUAAGGAGCCUAGUUUCCCUGGAACUUUCCCCACAAGCUCAUUGAAGCCUAACCAGAGGGAUUCAAGAUUAACGCAAUGUGAUAGGUUGUCAGGAAUUUGACCUCUGAAUGUAUUUUUCUCCAGGCUUAAUUUUUGUAACCUGAACAGAUAUCCAAUCUCUUGAGGGAUUUCGUUGCGGAAGCUAUUGUUUUUGAGAUCUAACACUCUGAGAAAACUUAAAUUACCAAUGUGAGGCGACAGAGACCCCUGUAAGAGUAAAGAUGGAAGAAGUAAUGCAGUCACCCUUUGGUGCCGUCGACUGCAAGUGACACCUUUCCAUUGACAAAAGUGCCUGGAAUAGUUCCAUGAACUCAAAACCUCAAGAGGGUCAUGAGUAACUUUGGCCUUGAAUUCAAGCAAUGCAAGUUGAUCAGUUUCAUUGCUUUUGAGCAUAUAAUCGGUUGACUGCAAGCUGAAGCUGAAGCAACAGAAAAUAAAGAAACAAAUGCUUACAAUGAUUGAACUCAUCAUGUUUACAAAAUCCAUUUAACUGCCGAAGGAAAUUAAAAUGAUAAAACUUUUGUGGAGGUUGGUAAGAUAAACUAUGUUUGUAUAUUUUUUGCAAUGAUUUAUGGACUCUGUACUUGAUGCUCAAAUGUGAACCGGCUGGCACCGUGACAGUGAAACUAAUACUUUUUGUUUUUCUAAUAAUAUUAAUUAUCAUAUUUAUUACUAUUGUAAGAAUAAUAUAUUGCAGCUUUAAAGAAAGACUCACCAUACUCCUUUUCGAGUCCUGUCAGUUUCCAGCAUUUGGUCAUUUUUUUAUUUCACCGCUUAAUCCACAGUAAAUAUAAAACAAUUUAAUCAACAAUAUUGAAAAAGAAAAAAAGUAGGACAAGAGAAAGGUAAAUACUGUUAAAUGAGUUGGGAAACGUUCAAAGCACGACGGGAAUUAAAAUUAUAAACUUUUAUAAAGGUUGGUAAGAAAAAACAUAUUUGUAUAUAUUUUUUUCAAUGAUUUAUGGACGCUAUACUUGAUGCUGAAAUGUGAACCGGCUGGCACCGGGACAGUGAAACUAAUGCUUUUUAUUUUUCUAAUAAUAUUAAUUAUCAUAUUUAUUACUAUUGUAAGAAUAAUAUAAUACAGCUUUUCCUUUAAGGAAGACCCGCCACACUAACUUUUGACGCUCUAUAAGUUUCCAGUAUUUUGUCAUUUUGUAUUGUAGUGCUUAAUCCACAAUGAAUAUAAAAGUUUAAAGCACCACAGGAUGAUGGAUGGAGUUUCACAUUACUGUUAAAUGACUUUGAAAGGUUUAAAGCACCACAGGAACCAACGUUUCACAAUGCCUUUUUCCCUUGUGAAAUAUUCAGUGCAGUCUCUCCCAGAUUUUGCUAGUGCAACAACGAGACGUCAUGCCGUUAACAAUUUUAAACUGUAAAUGACAUGUUGUUUUUACAAGACAUAUUAUGCGUCGAUACAUACCUUUUCUGGUUGUUGGUUUAUAAAAAUAUAUGAAACGGCAUGAGUGUGACAACUCUUGUAAAAUUUUUAAAAACAACAUAAUCAAUGGUAUUCUUAUCUCCCAGCUGCCGUUUGCCGUUUGGAAUUGUUCUGUAUAAGAUCUUGAUCAUCGAAUUUACCACUAGGGCGUAUGCUUUAUUUUCUCGAAUUACAUUGCUGCCUCAUCUUUUGUGUUUUCGGUUCUGUUGUGGAUCUCCUCUGUUUUUUUCUGAUUUUGGGCCCGAAGGGCACGUUAAUUGAAAUCAACAAAUCUGGUAAAAAUGACGUUAAAUUCGAUCAGAUUUACAUAUUUAAUUACAAAUGCAGUAACCCCGAUCAGAUGCAUACACUAAUUUUAUUUAUUUUGUCAGCUUUAACCUCACUGUCAUUUUGAAUAGCCUACAAGAGUCGAAUGACUAGAUUUCCAAUUUGCUAUCAUCCCCCUUGAAUGGGUUCAAGAAAUUCAGCAGGUUGCGAAACAAUAAGAUUCAUUCAAUCCGUGUAGAUAUCUAACUGACUGAAAUUAAAUAAAUGAUGAUGAUAAGAAAUUUGAAAUCAACAAAUCUCGGCACAUCUAUUCUGCAAUUUAGCCGUACUUCAAAUAAUCUUGCGAUAAAAAUUUCUUAAAAAUCUCAGAAAGAGGACAGAACAACCAAGGCAUCAGCGAAAGCAAUCGAUGUUAGGAAAUUGGUGGGUGCAGCAGUACCGCAACUAAAAUAAAAUUGGAAAUAAAAUAAAGAACAAGCACAAUAGAGGACACCAAAAAUUACGUGGUUCGGCUUUUAGCCUACAUCUACGGGCGAAGACAGAAGGAAAUAUUUUACUAGUGAAAUAAGGAUUACAAGUAUUGUAAGAUUUUAGCUCACUACCCAAAACCCCAAUACACCCAAUCUCUCACUCACUACACAUGCAAGAGUUUAUUAAACUCUUGAAAACUCUCAACACUCAAAGAAAGAAAAAUUUCUCUCAAUGGAAUUGAAUACAAAAUGAAAUGAGGAGCUCUGCCUUUUAUAGCCAAAAAAUGGCUAUUAAAUUAUUAUUUUUACCACCGUCUUCAUUCUGCUAUUUUCUUCUUUCUUCUUUUUUCUUCAUUCCAAAUUUGCUGCUGCCAAAUUCUUCAACAUUUUCUUUGGCCGGCUGUCAAAGCCAACUUUGCUUAUUCAAGGGUUCUAGAUGCAGUAGCUUCUAGAUGCAGCCAAAUUUGACAUUCUCCCACUUGGAGAUUAGAUUGAGAAUCAAUCAAUCUCCACAUCAUCCUUUCUGUUUCGCCAUAAUCAUGUUGCCUACGUUGCUGCUAGGCCACAAGAGGAUCUACUCCAGAUAAACUUGUCAGCAUUUAUUGGCUUGGUCAAAACAUCUGCUAGGUUCUCCUUCGUAUGGAUUUUCUGCAAAUCCACACUUCCAUCUUCCACUACUUCUCGAACGAAGUGAUACUGAACUCCUAUGUGCUUUGUCCUGGAAUGAAAGGCUAGAUUCCUUGCAAUGUGCAAGGCACUCUGACUGUCACAAAACACAAGAAUUUUCUGUUGUUUGUGCCCGAGCUCCUCCAAUAAUCUUUGUAUCCAAAUAGCUUCCUUGCAAGCUUGUGUAGCUGCCAUGUAUUCUGCUUCUGUUGUAGAUAAUGCCACAACGGUCUGCAGUUUCAAAACCCAGCUUACAGCUGCUCCCGCAAGUGCAAACACAUAACCAGUAGUGGAUUUCCUUUUAUCAAGGUCUCCUGCAAAAUCUGAAUACACAUAGCCCCUGACAGUAAACUCUGAUCCUCCAUAACAUAAUGCAACAUCUGAGGUUCCUCUGAUGUAUCUCAGAAUCAUCUUCACAGCUAUCCAAUGCUCUCCGCCAGGAUUCGCCAUGUAUCGACUGACUGCUCCCACUGCUUGUGCAAUGUCCGGUCUUGUACAUAUCAUAGCGAACAUUAAACUUCCCACUGCUGAUGCAUACGGUACUCGAGACAUCUCCUUCCUCUCUGCUUCAUUGCUAGGACACAUACUUGAGGAUAAUUUGAAAUUAACAGGAAAUGGGGUAGAAAUUGACUUACAAUCUUGCAUGUUGAAGCGCCGCAAGAUUUUCUUCAAGUAAUUCUUCUGUGAUAGCCAAAUCUUCCUGUUAUUUUUGUCUCGGUGAAUUUGCAUCCCUAGAAUCUUGUUUGCUGGUCCCAAGUCCUUCAUUUCAAACUCCCUAGCCAACUGUGCCUUCAAUUCUUGGAUUCGAUCUUUGUUGGGACCUGCUACCAACAUGUCAUCUACAUACAACAGCAAAAUGAUGAAAUCAUUAUCUUCAAACCUCUUGUAAUAUGCACAAUGGUCUGAACUGAGUCUGUUGUAUCCAAGGCUCAUGAUGAAGGAAUCAAAUCUCUUAUACCAACACCUCGGCGCCUGUUUGAGACCGUAUAGAGAUUUGUUCAACUUGCAAACCAAGUUCUCCUUUCCUGUUUCUGCAAAACCUUCUGGUUGGAGCAUAUAUAUUUCUUCUUCAAGUUCUCCAUGAAGAAAUGCAGUUUUCACAUCUAACUGCUCUAGAUGUAGGUCAAAUGUAGCACACAUUGCCAAGACUAUUCUGACUGUUGUGAGUCGAACCACGGGCGAAAAUAUCUCGUUGAAGUCAAUGCCUUCUUUCUGAGCAUAUCAUUUCACCACCAAUCUUGCACGAUACCGCUCCACUUGGUCAUUGCCAUCACGCUUGAUCUUGUAGACCCAUUUGUUUCCAAUGGCUUUUCUUCCAUGUGGUAGUGGUACAAGUUCCCAUGUCUUGUUCUUGUGUAGAGCUUCAAUUUCUUCCUGCAUUGCUGUCAUCCACAAAGCAACAUCUGAGCUGUUUAAAGCUUCAUGGAAAGUUGAAGGCUCUCCAUCCUCUGUUAAAAGACAGUAUGCAACGUUGAUCUCUGUGACAUACUCAGAGUGCCACACCGGCGGUCGUCUCUCACGAGUUGACCGACGAACUUCUGGAGCCUCGGACUCGACUGGUUCUUGUUCCUCGUGCUCUGGUGCUGCUUCAGAAGAAUCUGAAUCUUCUGGAUUAUUUUCUACAUAUACCGGCACAAUCUCUGACUUUUCUUUUACAGUGCCAUCAUCUCCAUCUUUCAUUUGCAGUUGAUCUUCUACAAAAAUAACAUCUCUGCUGAUGACGAUCUUGUGGGCAGUGGGGUCCCACAGACGAUACCCCUUUACUCCAUCAGCAUACCCCAAGAAGAUACAUCUUCUAGAUUUUGGAUCCAACUUUGUUCUUUCUUGGGCAUUGUACAUCACGUACACAGGACAUCCAAAUGCAUGUAGGUAGGAAUAAUCAGCUGGCUUUCCAGUCCACAUCUCCAUCGCCGUCUUCAACCCAAUCGCUGUAGAUGGUGAUCGAUUUACUAUAUAACAGGCAGUUUUGGCUGCUUCUGCCCAUAAUGAAUUGGGUAAACCAGCAGUCCUCAACAUAGCUCUUAUUCUUUCUGUAAGAGUUCUGUUCAUCCGCUCUGCCACUCCAUUUUGUUGAGGAGUGUACGCCACCGCGAACUGCCUCUGAAUACCUUCUUGCUUACAGAAAGCAAGAAACUCGCCCUCUGUAUAUUCUCCACCAUUAUCCGUCCUCAAGCACUUGAUCUUUUUACCAGAUUCAAGUUCCACACGCGCUUUGUAUUCUUUAAACACAGGAAAUACAUCUGACUUUUUCUUAAUUGGAUACACCCAACAUCUUCUAGAAUAAUCAUCAAUGAAAGUCACUAUGUACUUUGCACCUCCCAUGGAUAUAUCCGGUGAUUCCCAAACAUCAGAAUGAAUCAAGUCUAGAAUGCAUUUACUUCUAGCAAUAGAUCUACUGAAUUUUAAUCUAUGCUGCUUACUUAUAACACAAUGCUCGCAAAAUGGUCUGAAUUUUAAUCUAUGCUGCUUACUUAUAACACAAUGCUCGCAAAAUGGUAAACUUACCGAUUUGAGCCCCGGAAGCAAUUUUCGCUCAGAGAGAAUCUUCAAGCCUUGUUCUGACAUGUGACCAAGUUUGAGAUGCCACAUCAUCGUUGAUUCUUCUCCAUUUGACGCGACACACGUAUUAGCCUCCUGUAGUGUUUCUCCUCUAAGCAUGAAUAGAUUAGCACCGAUCUUUUCUGCUUUCAUCAAUACAAGCGCGCCUUUAACGAUCUUCAUAAUUCCAUUCUCCACAUGAGUUUUGUACCCAUGACUAUCCAUGUGUCCCAAAGACAAUAGAUUUUUCUUCAAGCCAUUGACAUGUCGUACCUCUCCAAUUGUGCGAAUUGUACCAUCAAACAUUUUUAUUUUGAUAGUACCAAUACCAGCGAUCUCCAAGGCAUGAUCAUCUCCCAUAUAUACAGAUCCUCCUGAGAUAGGUUCAUAUGUGUGGAACCAUUCUCUCCGAGAGGUCAUGUGCCAGGUAGCUCCUGAGUCUAUAAGCCAGACAUCAGACAAUCGUUUUCUGCCUUCUGAAACAGUUGUUGCCUCGCUGUAAAGAAUUUCGCCAUCAUCUGAGGUACUUGCUACACAACCCUGAGCAUUUGAUGACUCAGGUUCUUUUCCCUCUUUUCUCUUCUGGUUACUCCAACAUUCUUUCUUGAUGUGCCCUUUCUUGCCACAUUUGUAGCAUUUAACAUUAUUCUUACUCAUGGAUUUUGAUCUACCCUGAUUUUGACUCCCACUGGGGCCACGUUCCGUUGAUCUCCCUCUCGUCACCGAUAGCGCCUCCGCUUGCUGCGAACUUGCUUGUCUGUUUUCCUUAUUUUUCCACCUGCUCUCCUCAUUUAAUACGGAGGCUGCAACAUCGUCGAAAACUAGACUCUCCACUGGAUUGUUGUUCGUCAGGUUGAUGAUGAGUUGAUCAUACGAAUCUGGUAGACUUUGAAGUAGAAGCUCUGCACGUUCAUUUUCCUCUAUAUUAUGACCCAACAUUGUGAGUUGUGAAAAUAGAGUCUUCAAUGUGUUGAUGUGGUCGGUCACCAUUGUAGAUUCCGUCAUUCGAAGAGUAUAGAGUUUUCUCUUCAAGAAGAUUUUGUUGUGUAGUGACUUGGCCUCAUACAAUUUUGUGAGAGUAUCCCAUAUUUCCUUCGCCGUAUUUUUCUCUGCCACACUGGAUAAUACUCCAUCCGCAAGUGCCAAGUGUAGAUCAGAAAUGGCGUUGCCGUCUACCUCGUUCCACUUGUCAUCAGUUAUCUCCAUGGGCCUUUCUCCAAUUGCUGCCAAACAAUUAUUUUUCCUCAAUACAGCUUUCAUCUUCAUUUUCCACAAUGAAAAAUUAUUUCCGUUAAACUUCUCAAUUUCAUACUUUGCCGCCAUUUUGUUGAUAAAUACUGUACACAAGUUAGUGUACCACCUUGAAUAGUUGUGAGUAUGUGUGAUAAUGCACACCAGGAAAGUUCCCAGGAAAGACUGGAGGGGUCACAAUGGUCCCACUUAAAACCCAGACUCCUUAAGCUCUUAUCGCCUUUGUGACAGAACUUUCCUAGACAUGUACAAAACCACAGUUGUUUUUCUCACACUACUAUUCCCUGCUUUGCACCGGAAAAUUCUUGGAUCGCUUCCACCGUUUCACGUGAAUAGUACCGUAUACGUGAACAAUACCAUAUAUGUGAACAAACCCGUAUACGUGAACAACACAGUAUACGUGAAUAGUGUCGUAUACGUGUACAGUGCCGUAUACGUGAAUAGUACCCCUUACGUGAACAGUUCCCGACUCCAAAAAUACAACCAAUAGCUCUGAUACCACUGUUAGGAAAUUGGUGGGUGCAGCAGGACCGCAACUAAAAUAAAAUUGGAAAUAAAAUAAAGAACAAGCACAAUAGAGGACACCGAAAAUUACGUGGUUCGGCUUUUAGCCUACAUCCAUGGGCGAAGACAGAAGGAAAUAUUUUACUAGUGAAAUAAGGAUUACAAGUAUUGUAAGAUUUUAGCUCACUACCCAAAACCCCAAUACACCCAAUCUCUCACUCACUAGACAUGCAAGAGUUUAUUAAACUCUUGAAAACUCUCAACACUCAAAGAAAGAAAGAUUUCUCUCGAUGGAAUUGAAUACAAAAUGAAAUGAGGAGCUCUGCCUUUUAUAGCCAAAAAAUGGCUAUUAAAUUAUUAUUUUUACCACCGUCUUCAUUCUUCUAUUUUCUUCUUUCUUCUUUUUUCUUCAUUCCAAAUUUGCUGCUGCCAAAUUCUUCAACAUUUUCUUUGGCCGGCUGUCAAAGCCAACUUUGCUUAUUCAAGGGUUCUAGAUGCAGUAGCUUCUAGAUGCAGCCAAAUUUGACAAUCGAGGCAGGGCACGCUCAAGCCACGAAUUAGAGGAAUUUUAAAUAUCAAAACCAGCUCAGAAUAAUAAGAAGUAAAAUGAAACUAAAAAAGGCUCAGAUUUUUGGAUGAGUGAAGGGAAGAUGAGAAGAUGAAAUGCAGAAAGUCAAGAAAUGAAUAAACCAAUAUUAAUAAUCUUGGACCCACAUCUCUAAUUUGGAUUAAGCAUCCAUCUGCCUAUGUGGAUAAUAUUUUUGCUAAUUUUUCAGCCAUGCAGCAGGAUCAUGUUCGUCUUGUUUUAUUUGAUAGAAGGAAUUUUCCCUUGGAAGAAAAUGAUGAGUCGUUUCAACGUAAUGCAGCUACCUAGACUGCAUGGAAUUUCACCAGACAAUGACAAUUUAUUCUCAGAUAUAUCUAAAUCUAACGCCCCCACAUUUGUUUAGUCACCCAAAUUUGAAGGCGUCCGUUUUGAGACUGAUCAAAACUUUUUCCAAAAAUUCGGGAUUCAGGUCGAUCAGGCCGGUUAUGUUUUGAAAACUUGUAAAUUUUCAGUGAUCAAACUUCAAAACUUUGCAAAUAGGUCAAAAUAUGAAAAAUUCUUGAUAUAUUAUUGAAUACUCAUUUUGUUUUGCAUUAAUAUAAGGCUAUGGGUGCUAUCUAGUAAUGUUGGUAAAAUUUCUUGAGUUGAAAACAAUAAAACGAAAAUAGCUCUAAUAGAUCCACCCCUGUUUGAAACUCACUCAUAUGGAUGGGAAAGAAAUUUAGUUACCAUUGGAUUAAAAAAUAAUUAUUAUUAUUAGAAAAAAAAUUGUAAGGCUUCGACAAGAUUUGCUAAUCAUGUAUAGGUUAAAAUUUAUGUGGGUUUGGCCACCAAUUUAGCAUUAGGAACUUAUUGUUUAGGAAGCUAUGGUGGGUGUCGUAGUGGGACUUAUUCUCUUUAAUGCAUAUGGUGAUUUUAAACCAACAUUUAUAUAAUCCCAUUAUAAAACUCAUCAAACCUUCUAAAAUAACAUGUUGAGAUAGUGUGCUAGAAGUAUUUCUCCAACUUCUUAGCUUGAAGCGAUGUUCAUUUCCAUUGAUAGUUUAAUGGGCAAAGCCUUUUGAAUUCUCCAUGUUAUCAAGUUAAUUUUUGCUGGAAAAUGCAAUCCGGAUAUGAAUAGAAUUUUUUGUGCAAUCGAAUUUUCUAUGUUGACACAUCUUCUGGAACAUUCAAUAAAUUUUAUGGAGAAGUUUUAAUUUCUUAGUUGUUGAUUUCGAAUAUAUUAAGCUCUUAUUCAGUAUUAAAGUAUUGUGGCCUAAAAGAUAUAGUUCGUAUGGAAAGAAAUUUGUAAUUACAAAAUAAAAAUUGAUAAAGUGUGAUAAAUAUAAUUUCAAAAUAAAAAAUAAACUUAACUUCAAAAUUACAAUAGUAAUUAUAAAGUAUUUACUAAAUACAUUAGUGUUGCAGUAACUGCCCUACCACAAUGACAAAUAGGGGGCUAAUACUACAAAUUGUUCCAUUAAAAGUCACCCAAAAAGGAAGAAGUGACUUAAAAAAUUAAAAGAAUGCAGGAGCUGAAGUUGGCUAUUUUGUAAAUUGCAAUGGCAAUUGUGGCCUAGUAAAAUCCCUCAAUGAGUCACAGCACUAGCAAUUUCGUAAUAUACAUUAGUGGCAAUUUUGUAAAAUUGAAGUAAUGAUAGUUUUGCAAAUAAAAGUAAAAACUUUUUCCCUAAAUUCGGCUGAGCUAAAAACCAGCUUAGCCCACAGUCUCCUUCGCCACCGGUUGACGAGCUCUUCCUUCAAUUUUUGAACUUGAAGUGAUGCCCCAUCGAUGUCCAGAAUUUUUAAAGUCUCCCCAUUGUACAAGUUAAACAAUAAAGUCAGAAUGAUGAUCCUAAUGAUUCUUUUUAGAGAGUCACCUGUACGUUGAAGUGUUUAAUUGAUGUUUAUUUAAGCAGAAAUUGAAGUUUGAUCCUGAUUAAUUAGAUGAGAACACACAUUCAUGAGUAAAUACUUAAAAUUAAAUUAAUCAAAAUAGUAUAAAUACAGGAGAAAAUCGAUCAUAUGCGUACAGAAAUCACAAUCGAAUUAUAUAUAUCACCGCCGCACAGAAAUAACAAUUAAAUUGUAAUGUCAAUUGUCCACAUAAGAUUUUUUUUUUUUUUUUUUUUUUUUUUGUUGAUGAAAGUUAGUAAUUUUUUUCCAUCUUUUUAAAUAAUAGUUGUUAAUAAAUAUCAAGAAAAUAUUGGGACUGGAGAUCAGGGUCUACUUAAGUUAGAAGUGAGAGUAGUGCAGAUAUGUGGGGAUUAUAUGCAAGGUGGCUUAAAAGUAAAGGAGAUCUUACAAUGUGCUCUGAAGCCCUCUUAAAGCAAGUCAGAUCAUAUCAGGUUUCUCCAUAAAUCUCAUCAUCUUAUAAUAAGUUAGCAUUAUGUUUUACUUUGAUGUUGAUGGAAUUUGUUAAUGCUAAUCAAAUUUUGUUAAUCUCCCUCUCUUUUUUUUUUAAUUUAAAAGAAGGCAAAUAAAAAGCUUUGUGAUUUCAUUUUUGUUUUCUAAAUUUGUUAUCUAAAGGAAUGACAAGUUGAUAACUCAGCCUCUGUGUGUGUGUGUCUGUGUCAGGGAUCUGAUUUGUGGAAAGAUAGAGAUCGGUUUAAAAGGUUUUCAUAUGCAUCCUUGGAACUUUGUAAGGUUUACAUGGAAAUUUCUUCCUCUUCCGGUAGCCGUCGAGAGCUCUUUGCUGCUGAGAUGCACCUGAAGAACGUACUUAAACAAGUAAAACACCUUAUAAUUCGAUAUUUAAGACACUUACAGUUGGUUUAAAGAUUGUAUUUUCUGUUUCUGUUUUUGACUGGUUCAGGGUAAAACUUUUUCUCACUGUGUUAGAGUGCAUUUCUGUUAUUAUAUAGUUUCUUAGAAGAAAAUGCACUUUUUGGAAUCUCAGGCUAAAGGAUUUUCUGACAUGGAAGAGUUCAGGGAUCUUCAAGCUUGCCUUGAUGAAGUGAAGACAAAACUCCAAUCUGGUCCCGUGGCUACCUAAGUAUCAGGAAUGUGCUAUUUUUGAAAUUUAGUAACAAGGUUAAAUCUGCAACUAAAAAUUAUUUUAGUUUGUACUGUAGUGGAGACCUUAAGCAGGACUGAAUAUCUUGUAUUGUUGUAUCACCUUUUCUGUAACAAAACGGUCUAGUUUUACUAUUUUUAUUAUUUUUGUAUUUUCGGUGCUGUAACUAAUCUCAUUUGACAAUUUAAAUAUAUGGCUUCAAGUUCUUUAAAUGUAACAUCAAGUGUUGUUUCAACCUCUGUUCUUUUAUGUAUUUCUUGCAUGCGGUGAUUUCAUUAACCUCAAUUUAAGGACAAUUUCAUAUCUUUUUUCUUUCUGCUUUUCUUUUAUCAUUUAAAAACAACACACACACACACACACACAUUUAUAUUUCAGAAGAGGAAAUUGCACGGGAUAUGACUCAAUACUUGCUAAAUGCCAAGACUAUGACCCAAUUAUUUACAUGCCGAGACUAUGACCGAAUAACAAGUGAAAGUACACAAAUAUCCUUAUAAGUAACUAAGUUAAAAAUAUAAAACUUGAGUUAGGAAGUUUAGGAAUGCAUUGAACUUGUAUUCAUUACUUUGAUUAAUCCAUUUACCGUUAUACAAGACAAUAACACGUACCAUAUCCAUUUACAUAAAAAUUAUGAGUUGACAAAGUAAGAAUAUUAACAAAAAUAAGUUGUUAAAAGUUCUUGUAGACUUCUGUGCUUCAGUUCUAGACUUCUAGAUUUAUAGACUUACCUACAUGUCUAUAAGUCUAGAUGUAAAGAAGUCACGAAAACGAUAACAAUGAUAAACAAACUCAAUUCAACAACAAAUUUGAUGUGUAAAAAUUGUGUUGAAGAAUUUUUUGGAAUCUGUUUGAAUUUGUUAAGGGAAUGUGAUGAUUUUAGUAAGUGUUUGAUAACAACUUAGAAUGUUGGACGCAUUAUAGUGCUGGGUGCAUGCUUUUGUUGGAAAAGAUAAGGGCAUUUUAGACUAGGGAUCACCAAAAUGUCAUACAAAUUUAAUUGAGUAAAAUUUGUCAUAUUUAUAUAAAAUGUACAUGAUUUUGUCAUAUAUAAAUAAAAAACCCAUUUCAGAAAGCAUUUAAACAAAGCGAGAGUACAAUAAAAAACCCAUUUUAGAAAGCAUUUAAACAAAGCCAGAGUACAAUAUAGAAAGAUUUUACUCAUUCUAAGUGUGUACCAAACAAAGAAAUGAACUCUCCUUUUCUAGUUAUAUAAUUAUUACAUGAAAUUAAUAAAAACAUGACGAAUUAUAAUUCCUUGCGAUAUAGUGGGGGUUAUAGAAAAGUCAAGAGUUGCUAGUGGAAGAUAAUAGGGAGAGUACAAUAUAUAUAUUAUGAACAUUCACAUUUAUUUUAAUAAAUUCAUAGCAUUUUUUUUGCUUAAAUAACAGGGUGUAUGUAUAUAUAUAUUGACAUAAAAAUUGCAUGACGUGUGGUUUAGCGUUUCUUGGUUGUUCAGUGCUAGUUUUAUGUCAAUUUUUAUUGACAUAAAAAUUGCAUGACACAAAAAAGGCUGUUUUAACCAACUAAAAACCAAAAGCUAAAACCCAAAACCCCCCUCUUUUUCGUUUUCCAGGGACUUCACCUUGAUAUUCAACCAACACUUCUGAUGUCUGCCCUUCAAUAAACCAAGUCAUUCAUACACAUGAUUCUACUAUUGGUGAUGCCUCUGAUGUUUUUGUGACCCCAAAAUUAUUGGGGAAUAGUCAUGAAUCUGAAUCUGGAGUCCAAUGCAUUCACGCUGGUGGCUCAGCAGCCCAUUUAAAGGCAAUCCAACAGGCAGUGAUCUUGUCGAGGUGCCUUCUAAUAGAAAAGAGCUCAUGGCAAGAUGAAAUGCAAAGUAAGUUGUUUUAUGGUUGGCCGGUGUGUAGUCAUCUCGUUAAAGGCCAUAAGAUGUUUAGCAUAUUGCUAUUUAAUUUUUAAAUCAUUCUCAGUAAUAAUUCCUUUAGUAGAUUGAUGAUAAGAGAUUGCAUUACAGAUGAUAACGGAGCACAAUUUUUGUAGUUGUAUCCCUGUACAUCCAUCUUAAUAUCCUCAUUAUAUUCACAUGCCUUUUACGGGUGUUAUUUCUGGAUGCCGAAUGCUUUGCUCCACGUCUGGAUACCAAAUGCUUUGUUCCACAAAGCUGAGCUGGUUGAAAAGCUAGCUGAUGAGGUCAACACGUCCCUUAAGUAAUUUGAGGAUGAACACUGUGUUCCCGAAAGUCUUACUCUAAUGAUACUUAAAGAAGCAAUGAGAAUGGAUGUUGCAGCAGCUUUGCUGAACUCAACUCCAGUUCCAAAAAUGGAACAUGUGAAAACCGAAAAUGCAUUGUUUUUUUUUUUUUCCUCUUUAUGACUUCUCUAGUUGGGGAAUGUAUUAGAUAUUCACCUAAUCAGUAGGCCUUGAAGGGAUCCCAUGUUAGCCCCUUGAUGUUGGUCUGUAACUAAGUAAAUACUUGACCUUGAAAAAGCUUUUGGAGGCAUCAGUUUCUCUCUGACUGGUGCUACUUUUUGGAUCUGUUGAUUUGGUCAUUUGCUGAUUUAUAGUUUGUUUUCUGAUUCAGGAUGGGAUAUGGCUCCAUACAUAGAGGCAACUGAUUCACAGCAGUCGUCAUGCUUCAUUGUAAAUAUAUAUACAAUACAGCAUCAGUUUUUCUUGAUUUUAAAUCUCAUAUUCUGAAGUGGUACUUCUGAUUCUCACAUGAUUUUUCCAUCUUUCAGCUAAAGUUUUUCUGUGAUCUCUUACGUAUUAGAUGGGAAUCCACCCGCAGUCGCACAAAAGGGCGUGCUUUAGAGAUGAUGGACAAACUGGUAUGAUCUGUGAGCCUUUUCUUCUUAAAUAUUUUGUUACCUAAACCAUUUUCAUUCAAAUUGACAAGUGUUGCUUAUCAAUCUAUAGAAGAUUCCAAACUUUCUGCAGCUAGUACUUUAUUGGACCCAAAAGCUUUUUUGCUUUUUCUAAGCUGCUAAUCAGGACUAGGUUUCUCUCCCUUAUAUCGCUAGAUAUCCCAUUAAUCGUUUGAUUUAGUUGUCUAGAGAGAUUAGGUACUUGCAUCUUCGCUUUUCACUUCACAAGUGAUUUCAUGUGCUAUCCUGUAUUCUGGUUCAAGAUUUUUGAAGGUUGCUUACCAUCAUAUUUUGCUUUGUUUCAGGUUGAGGGCAUUUCUAAUUCUUCUCCCGGUGUGACUCAAAGGAUUCCCUUUUGUUAUGUGAUUUAAGUUCCAACUAUUCCUACCCUGCGAAAGUAAUACUAUUUCUUUUGCUUCUUUGAAUGAUUGUGAUUUAAUUUUCUUGUCAUUUUGCCAACUAUCAUUAUGCUGUCAUUGUUUCAUAUCUUAUUUGACAUAUGUUGAUUUGGUUAGAGUUUAAUUGCUCUGUUUAUUCUCUUUAUAAUCUGUCUAUUUCGAUUUUUCUUGAUUUUAGGGAAUAUGCUGAACUUUUAGUAAGCUGUGGCUUGAUUGGAGAGGCUAUUAAAAUUUUUGAGGAUCUGGAGUUGUGGGAUAAUCUAAUAUACUGCAACUGGUAUGAUGUCAUAGAUAACCAUUAUCCUAAUCUCUCUGUCUGUCUGUCUGUCUCUAUCUCUCUCUUUCGUGUUGCUAAUGGGAGUUGGUUUUUUGUAUGAUGUAAAAAACAGCCUAUUGGGGAAGAAAGCAGCAGCUGUUGAACUAAUAAAAGCAAGGCUGUCUGAAAAGCCUAGUGACCCUAGAUUAUGGUUGGUUAAUGAGCCUUUUCUAUGAUCCAUUUUAUAGUUACUUCUCAUUUCAGUUAAAUCCAUUGUUGAUGUCACUUAUUGCAAUCUAGGGAUAAUUGUUCAUUGGUUGUAAGGAUAUUGUCAGAAGAAAAUGAAACCUUUUAAUUUUGUCUUUUACUUGCUGUAGCCGAUUUAAAAGCUCACUGUGCGUUCUUACUGAUUGCUUUUGGUCUUGCAUUUGAGUCAAUGGAUUUUAUACUCAUAUUCUGACAUUUAUUGUUAGUCUUCUGACGGUUCUGCACCUUGGUCCUAUAUUAUCUUCAGCAGUAUUAUCUAAAAGAUAAGUUUUUGCCGAAGAAAAUUUGCAUUCUAAACUAGAAAAUGAGGGGCCGGGGGGAGGGGGGGGGGGGGGUAGGUUGGGAGGCAACGGGAGACUGUUUUCCACUUAUCCUCUUCCCUGCCUGCAUUUUAGAUGAUUUUGAUGCACCAGGUGCCGUGAAAUGGUUGAGAAAUACAUACCAUCAAGUGAAUUCUGAAAAUCAUUUCCUUUUUGAAAAUAUUUGGUGCUAGACAUUUGAAUAUAUGGCCACAAUUUAAACAAUAAAGAUUUUCUGCAUUGAUUUCUUAUAAUGGAUAGAUGCAUGUAAGUAAAAUAUGAUAUCUUUUGAUUAUUGGCCCAUUUGUUCAGAAAGAAGGAAAAAAAAAAAAAUACAUGGUUGAAAGACAACUGUUACUUGACCUUAUGAUACAUUUUGUAGGUGUUCAUUAGGUGAUGUUACAAAUAAUGAUGCCUGCUAUGAAAAAGCUUUGGAAGUUUCGAAUGAUAAGUCAGCUCGAGCUACGGUGAUAUUGUAGUUCACAUUAUGCUUGUGCCGUGAUCAUUUUUUAGUUAACAUAUCUUUAUGUGAAUCAGAGGUCUCUAGCUCGUAGUGCAUACAACAGAGGGGAGUACGAGACAUCUAAAAUCCUUUGGUAUGUUGCUUUAAUGCUUUACUUCUCUUUCUGCCACACAGUAAUUUGCUGCAUUGACAACUGAUACGGCUGAAUGACAAUUUACCCUUGGUUUUGUCUCGGGGAGGCUGCCAUGGCCUUGAAUUCUUUGUAUCCGGAUGGCUGGUUUGCUCUUGGUGCUGCUGCAUUGAAGGUAUCAUAUUUUUGUAUUAGUAUGUGUUUAGUGUGAAGCAAUUUCUUAUCCUUUUGCCCCAAGUUUCUGAAACUCUCGGCUGAAAUAUAAAUACAGGCUCGGGAUGUUGAAAAGGCUCUGGAUGGGUUUACUCGGGCUGUUCAACUUGAUCCAGACAAUGGGGAAGCUUGGAACAAUAUUGCUUGCUUGUAUGCUCUUUUCUUUGUCAUCAUGUCAUUCCAUCCUCUUGCUCUGUAUUCUUUAAUAUUGUGUCAAUCACAUUCAUCUUCUAUCUGCAAGAGUAUGCUUCCCAUAUUUGGUUUACUUUGUUUUGACUUUCUUGUUGCAGUUGUUCUAUAUAAAUUUUAUAUGGUUCCAUAUUCCCUUGAUGAGUGAAUUUAGUUGCUGCAAAUGUUAAGAACUAGAUAGUACUGUUAUAAUUAGGAAUAGGGCAAAUAUUAGCCAGCUCUUUUGAGGAUUAUCCAUAGCAUAUACCUCCGUCGUUUUCAAAGCGAUUGAAGUUCUCCCUUUUGUCUUAUUUAAAAGAAAAAAGCACAAAUUGCUUCCCUCACAUCUAUCUACAGUCUCUUUUCUCUCUGUUUAAUUUUUUCUUGUGCUUAUUAUUUGUCUUUUAAUGCAUCUUUUCUUCUUAUUUUAUACUGUACUAGAAUUUGUGCUGUCUCGAUUUUAUCUUGCAUGUGAGUUACUGUGUUUUUCGCAAUUGUAGAACUUUAUUUAGCAGCAUAAUUAUUAGUUAGUGAGACAUUAAUUGGUUAAUACCACUUGUGAAGAUACGAAGAGCUACUUAUUCUCUCUUCUAGUACAUUUAAAAAAUUCAUGACAAAAUAUCUGGGAUGGUAAAAUUCUCGUCAAUUAUAACUACGGAAGUCUUGAGAUUUAUGUAGUCUUGCAGGCAUAUGAUCAAGAAGAAGAGCAAAGAGGCUUUUACAGCAUUCAAGGAGUCCCUAAAGUUGAAGUUCUGUCUUUUUUCCCCCUGAUCACUACAUUUUUAUUUUCUGUCAUGCACAAUGCAGUCGGACACUAUCUGAUCACAAGAAAACUGUCAUACAUAAUUUGUUGCUGCUAGGCAAAAGGUGAUAUCUAAUGUAAUAACCUAUAACAUGAUUUUGUAACAGACGGAACAGUUGGCAAUUGUGGGAAAACUACAGCCAUGUUGCUUUGGAUGUGGACAAUAUUGGUCAGGUAACCGCGGUUGUGCGCUUAAUGUCCAUCAUUUAUCACUGAAAUCUUUUGAGAUGAAGCUGGCAUUUCCUUAGCCACCCUCUGAUGGUUUUGAUUGCUUCAUGUAUGUUGUCAUCUUUGUCAACUAAUGAAAGCUGCAGAGAUUUUGUCAUCUUUUCAUUUAAAAGAAUUUGAUAGUUUAUAGCCCAUUGUCAUGUUUGCAUAUGUAUGUUAUUGUUCUUUUGACCUUUUUGUACCUCAGCUUCAUCCUUUUAUGCAAGCAAUUCUUUGUCAAGAAAUAUCUGGUUAACAAUUUCUUCGCAUGAAUAUUUUUACGGUCAUCAAGGUCCUUGAACAGUCAUGGUUAAUUGAUUACAGAUUCUCAAAUUUAUAAUUAUUUUUUUCAGGGUCAUUGUCCUUUGAUAUAUGCAAUUGAUGCAUGACUUUCUAACCAUUAUCUCCCUGCCUUCACCAUGGUCGUAUAAAUAUUUUGACAAGUGGGGAUUUUAUGAUUACUGUGUGCUAGGAAUUUUUUUGGUUGGAAAGAAAUGGGAGGAUUUUUCAAGAAGCUAGGGAGGGAAGACACCAAAUUUUUUUUGGUGGAUAAAGCCUGCUGUCACUUUGGGCAUCAAUUUCUAAUGAAUGCAAUAAUGUUCCUUUCUUUGCUAUUCAUUAAAAUUGAGUUGUUCUUCUUGGAUGGCCUUCUUUUUACUUCCCAUCAUUUUGCCAGCUUGUUGAUUGUCAUUUUUGCUUGUUGGCAGUCUUUUCCUGCAGUGUUGAUAAUAUUUAAUUAUAAUAUUAGACAACAGUGUCCUCAACAUGAUCUCUCUCCCAAAUUAUUACUCUUUUAUUCAUUAUACUUUUAGCAGUUUCUUUAUUUUUGUUAUAUUUUAUGUUUUCAGGCUCUAGAGGCUGUGCAGAUGGUGUUGAACAUGACUAAUAAUAAACGAAUUGAUACUGUAUUAUUAGAAAGAAUAGUGCUAGAUAUGGAAGGAAGGACUUCAAUUAUAGAAUCUGAGUCUUGCAGGACUACCCAUAAUCUUAACAGAACUAAUAACACUUGUGCAAAAGAUUAACCUGUAGAAUCUGUCCAUGUAUCAUCACCUGAGGAGUCAAUCAUGGGAAGAUCGCGAGAAAAUGAGCACUUGAUGGAGUUUCUUGGGAAAAUUCUUCAGCAGGUUGCACAUGGCUCCAUGAUCAUCUUUUUUCUGUCUUUUAAUACUGAGCCAAGGGACAGUCUCUCUCUUUCACGCAUAUCCACAACACAUGUACAUAUUUCUCAUAUUUCUAUGCGUAUAUAUUGUCAUUUCUGAUCUUUCUUAGUUUAUAUGAUAAUUGUCUUUGGGCAUAUGAUUCAUAUUUUCUGGGCACCCUAUGGUCUGUGGGUCAAUAAUAAUCCAUAGUAUCUGAAUUUCUAGACAAAAUUGGUCAUUUUAGCAAAUCAUUUGGAUGUAUCUAUGCAGCAGUUUACUAUUUUAGUGCUUGCAGGAAUUGGUAUGCUUAAAUUUUGGGCUUAAAUUGUGUGAAAAUAAUCAAAGUGAUAUGCAAAUUAAUUCAAGCCACAUGAGGAAAGAAUAUCCUUUUUUUUUUUUUUCAGCUUAUGUUACAUGUUUCUGUGUAUGGCAUAGGUAGUUCGAAGUGAGAGUAGUGCAGAUAUGUGGGGAUUAUAUGCAAGGUGGCUUAAAAAUAAAGGAGAUCUUACAAUGUGCUCUGAAGCCCUCUUAAAGCAAGUCAGAUCAUAUCAGGUUUCUCCAUAAACCUCAUCAUCUUAUAAUAAGUUAGCAUUAUGUUUUACUUUGAUGUUGAUGGAAUUUGUUAAUGCUAAUAAAAUUUUGUUAAUCUCUCUCUCUCUUUCUUUUUUAAAGAAGGCAAAGAAAAAGCUUUGUGAUUUCAUUUUUGUUUUCUAAAUUUGUUAUCUAAAGGAAUGACAAGUUUACAAUUCAGCCUCUGUGUGUGUGUGUGUGUGUGUGUGUGUGUGUGUGUGUGUCUGUGUCAGGGAUCUGAUUUGUGGAAAGAUAGAGAUCGGUUUAAAAGGUUUUCAUAUGCAUCCUUGGAACUUUGUAAGGUUUACAUGGAAAUUUCUUCCUCUUCUGGUAGCCGUCGAGAACUCUUUACUGCUGAGAUGCACCUGAAGAACGUACUUAAACAAGUAAAACACCUUAUAAUUCGAUAUUUAAGACACUUACAGUUGGUUUAAAGAUUGCAUUUUCCAUUUCUUUUUUUGACUGGUUCAGGGUAAAACUUUUUCUCACUGUGUUAGAGUGCAUUUCUGUUAUUAUAUAGUUUCUUAGAAGAAAAUGCACUUUUUGGAAUCUCAGGCUGAAGGAUUUUCUGACAUGGAAGAGUUCAGGGAUCUUCACGCUUGCCUUGAUGAACUGAAGACAAAACUCCAAUCUGGUCCCGUGGCUACCUAAGUAUCAGGAAUGUGCUAUUUUUGAAAUUUAGUAACAAGGUUAAAUCUGCAACAAAAAAUUAUUUUAGUUCGUACUGUAGUGGAGACCUUAAGCAUGACUGAGUAUCUUGUAUUGUUGUAUCACCUUUUCUGUAACAAAACAGUCUAGUUUUAUUAUUUUUGUAUUUUCGGUGCUGUAACUAAUCUCAUUUGCCAAUGUAAAUAUAUGGCUUCAAGUUCUUUAAAUGUAACAUCAAAUGUUGUUUUCAACCUCUGUUCUUUUAUGUAUUGCUUACAUGCCGUGAUUUC
rnacentral:lncRNA from 1 species